AAAAGUACUUGAAAAUUAUUUGACUAAAUCAUUGAGGGCAUAAUUUAGACACUGAUAAAUAGUUAAAAGUUUUCAAUUAAAUAUGAUCAUCUAAUGGUGUUCUUAAAGUUCCGUAAUCACAGUCAGUACAAUGGUUCUAUCAAAUGAAAUAUUUCUAUACAAAAUCAAUUUCUUUUUUAUCAUAUGGAAUUAAUCGAUUUGGAAUUGUGGAUUUUUAAUAGAUAUAAUAAAUACCCCAAGUAUUUUGAUAAUAUUCUAAAAUUAUCGUUGAGUUAGUGUGUGGCUUCGGGAGUCACUGUCAUGAACUUGGUCAGUCUAACAAAUAUAACGUAACUCAUGGUAUCAUCAAAAUAUGUGCAACCUGCUCAGUAGAAACCAAAUCAGAUUAGGGAAAUUAUCUCUGUUGUCUUGGUCAAUCUUUUGUGACUUCAUCAAUAGACAUAACAUGUAGCCACGCCACAACUUUUAAUUUUAAUUGGAAUGCUUAGAAGUCUAUUAAAAAUUAUAAUGUAACCUAACUAAGAAUAAUAUCAAUUUUUCUAUUUUAAUAUAAUAUUUAAUUAAACUAUUGCCAUUAUUGCACUUAGUCAUGGCUCAUAUGUGGAUCCACUAAUUGUUUCGCACCGUUGAUUGAUUGAGGGACGGUCAAGAUUUGAUUAAAUAUUGGAAUUGGUAUGCGAUCUCAUUAAAGUUGACUUCUAAAAUUGCAUUCUCAAUUAUUCAGAUUUAAAAAACAAGAAUGAUAAUAUGAUAGUUACGUUUUAAUAUUCUACGUUUGAAAUAUUAUGUUUCUUCUCAAAGCUGCAAAUCUCAUUUACAUUACCUGGUCAAAGACUUCUUGACAUAAAUUAUUUAUGCUAUUAAUUCAGUUAGUUAAGGAUAUACUUUAAAUGAUAUGACAUUUAAUCAACCAACGAUACAACAUAUAUCGAUUUAAUAUUAAGAUAUCUAAACAUAAUGAGACGACAAGAUCAAUACUCAACAUACAAUUUAUUUUUAAUACAAUUUCUUUCAUAAAUAUUGAUACAUUAAUAAUAUUGCAUCAAUGUCAUGUCACUUGGUUUACUUUAUUUACUUAUUACUUAACUCUUUUAGUAUCCAUACGUCACUCAUUAAACUCGUAUGUAUUUUGUAUGCAUAGAAUUCAUAGAGUUCAACUCUUGUGCAUGAACUUAGGAUUUCUCUAUUAAGUUUACUUGGAUAUGAUUAUAUUGUUGUUCUAGUUUAUGACCUCUUCUAAUUUUUUUUCGAUUACAUAUGAUUUUCAUUAAAUCACAACUCUAGUUGGCAUUUCACAUCACCCGCAAUUGAUUAGUUGCUUUCUAAUCCAACAAAAUUAAUAUGGAAAGAAAUAAAUGGCAACCGAUAAAUAUUCCAACAUUAUGUAUUACGCUGAAGAUUAAGCCAAUCCCACUACUACAAAACUGAAUUUCUUUGACAGAAUGCUUUUUCACAUGAUCAUGUAUGUGUCAAAGUUUUGUGACAAAUAUAUUAUUUUGCUGAUGUCGCAAACACAAUCCUUUCAAAAUCUUUAGAGGCCUUGAAAUUUUGAUUAUCUAUAAGAGAAUAGUUACAAAAUUCUGUCACUAAUAGUAAGUUAAGUGAUUCUUGAUAGAAUACUAUCAAAACAUUUAUAUAAAAUCUCACAUUUUAAUAUUUUACAAAAAUGUGUUUUAAAUAUUUUCAUUUUUUUGACAUAAUUCUAUCAAUGAACUUUCUUUUUAAAUUUUUAAUUCCACUUAGGCAUUGAAAAUGACAUAGUUUUAAAAGAUUUCAAUGACUUAACUGAUGUGAAUAUAUCUUUAAUAAGUCAACGACAAAAUUCUAUCAAAUAAAAUUUACUAUUUUAUUUAUUUUAUGUUGCCACAUCAAUAAAUUAAAAUGAUGACAUUUCAUACGCUCAAAAAAGAAAAACUUAUGUAGGCUAAAUUCAUCACCUUAUCAGAUAAACAAAGGCCUGCUCAACCAAUAAGAAUUUGCCAUCUAAAAAGUUUAAUGGGUCUUUCAAAAAGCCUGACUUGAGUCUGAGCUUGAGUAUUUCAGGUCUAAUCUAAUAAGCAAGUUUAUAAAUUAUAAAUUUAUGAAAUACAAUGAAAAAGGUUUUAAAAAAAAAAAGAAAAAUGUUUUAAAAAAUUAAAGUAUAAAUAUGAGGUUUUACAAUUAAAAUAUCAAAUAGUGGCAAAAUGAGCGCCCAAAAAGUGCGGCAAAUUAAAAUUAUUCAAAAUUUAUCUCUUCAAUCCCUUUUUUUUUUUUAUUUUAGAGGGAAAUUUUUUUUAUGUACCACUGAAAUAAAAUUAACCCAAAAACAUUCUGUAAUUGAAAGCUUGGAACGAAUUUCACGCCUCUCGCCUUCUCUUUCACGCAUUUCGCAUUCCAUUUUCGCAUUAACACAUAAAAGGAGACACAAAUGGAAUAAUUAGAGAGAGGGAUGAGAUUCCAUUUAUUGUUUGGUUAUAAAGUACUGGAAAUGAAACAUGAGAAAAUAAUUGAGUGUUUUUUUUUUUGUUAACAUAAAAAUACGUAUUUUCUGUAUUUGAUAUUUAACAGAAAAUUCAAAGUAAAAUCAAAUCCAUUUGUAAUAUAAGUUCACUUCAUUCAUAAAAUUAAACAUAUAAAAUAAAAUUUAUAAACGUUACUUAUACAAAUACAUAUUACCAUUCAAAAUAAUAAAAAUUUGGCAUUGGAAACAAUUUUUGAAAAAAAAAAAAUUUUAAUGGAGAAAGGAAUUGUGGAGGGAAAGUUUGAUAGAAGAUGCACACUAGCUAGUUUUGGAAUUAUGUAUACCGUCAGUCAUUUUAUUAAAAAAAAUGAAAAUAAUUUGAUCAGCCACCAGAGUUUUACUUCAGUGAUUUUCUCAAUACGACGUACGGUCCUCAGAACCUUAUCAUGAUGCAUGUGUAUUCUAAGCUUCACGACAUCAUAUUAAAAACGUUUAGCUAUGACUAUAAUUUGAAAUUUGACUCAUUUUUAUGUAAAAUUUAUAGACCCACCGAUUCACCUUUUUUUUUUUAUGUUAUGAUCAUUUAGGCAUGUUAUAUUUUAAUUAUGACUCCAUGUGAAAUCAAAAUUUAAAUUUCACCAUCUUUUAUAGGAUUUGAUUAUGAUAAUCAAAUAAUGGAAUAAACACAUACAAAGGCAAAAAAAUGAAAAAGUGUACAAAUGACAAUAAGCUCUCAGAUGAGCACAAAAAAAAAAAGAAAGAAAAAAAAAAGAAACACCAAUCUCAACACUCAAAAUCAAUCAAUCCCCAGCAGUUUGGCCUCACAAGAGCUCUCUCUGUGUUGUGCUUUCCCUCAUUCAUUCUCUUUACAAAUACAAAGGCUUGCAAAAAAAAAAAAACAAACAAAACGAAUUACUGAAAACAUACAUAACAGAUCAAAAAAGCACGCGCCGCGCCCGUCCCCCAAUUCCUGCUCUGCGACAAAUGAAUCAGUUACACAAAUAUAUCUAAUUUUAAUGGACAUUGUUAAAUUAAUGAAGAAGAGCAGAGAGCAAACGAGAAGGAAAGCGUAUGCAAAUUAUAAUUACUAACCAGAGUUAUUAGCACCAUUAGAUAUAUAUAUAUAUAUCCCUGCUGAAUCCCCUCCUCUGUUCACCAUUCGUUUCUAAAAUGGAUUAAAAAAAUAACCACUAAUUAAUUUUAAUUAAAAUAGAGUGAGACACGCAAUGCAUGCAGGAGAUCUAGAAAGCAAUUACCCGUCGCGGUAGGUAUUGAUGAUUUUGGGAAUGUGGCGUAUCUUAGGCCAGUCCUCUCCUGUCUCCUCGCUGCAACGUUCUCCUAAAAUAUGACAUCCCCCAAUCAACAAUUCCUGCAGUGUUGUCUUCUGAAGCAGGUGAUCGGGCAGUGCUUUUAAUUUAGGGCAUGACACAAUUUCCAAGUAAGAAAGACGUGGCAUGAUUAUGAUUUCUCCCUUUAUUGCAGUCCCGCAAUCCCACUCUUCCAGUUCUUCCAUAUAUUCAAAUUCCAGAUGUUUCAAUUUGGGAAAGGCAAUAACUGAGGAGCCAUCCGUAUCACUUUCUACUCCCAGAAAUUCAUUACCCACUCUUUUCACACUUUUCAUUCCUUCAAUAUGAAGAGAUUCAAGGGAUGGCAAUUUUCCCAAAGGAGGCAAAUGCUCACAAUUUCUGCAAUUGUAGAGAUAUAAGACCCUUAAAUUGGUUAAUGACGUGAUCCAAUUUUUGGGGACAACAUUCCUCCUGCCUCUGUAUUCAGAAAUCUCUAAUUCCUUUAAAUUAGGAGGUGGUCCCAAGGCUUCAAGAAGCCGUUCAUCUUCAUCCUCCUCAUUCUCCCUCCUACCAGCUUGUUCUUCAUCCCCAUCUCUUAAAUGAUCAAAAUGAAGUCCCAAAUGUAAGAGAUAUUUCUUUUUCUCAAGUUCAGCCCUCGCAGCCUCACCCGCUUCUGACACACCACCCAGCCCACGUAUACCACAUUGUUGAAGGAAGUUAAGCUUUUUAAGAGACCCAAGGCUACAUGCUCUGUCAUACCCUCCGCCCACAACAAACUCUCUCACCCUCCGAAGCCUGAUUAAUUCCCCAAUCCCUGCCGGCAAGUAUCUUAAAGAAUCAGUCCCCUCAUUGUGUAAAUACAUCAGCUUUCUUAACUUCCCAAUCCCUCGAGGUAAUUCUCUAAGAUUUUCACAAUCAUCAACGUUUAAACGUUCUAAAUUAUAUAACUCACACAACGUCUCGGGUAAUUUUUCUAUCUUCUUUUGACCUUUCAAAUUAAGGUAUUUCAAAUGUAACAAUUUUUCUAUAUUUGUUGGAAUUUCCUUGAUGAAAUUCUUACACAACCACGGUUCACAUACCUUUAAUUUUAAUGUCCUUAAACAAGUUAAUUUAUCAAAUAAUUGAGGUAAAACUUCACUAGACCAUGAAUAUUCAUCACUUUUAACUAAGAGGCUACGCAAUCCUCGCAAUCCUGUAACAUUACCCCAAAUGGAGAUCGGAACCGAAGCCCCCCUACGUAGAGUUAACAGUAAAUGGAUUUUUUUCUCCCCGAAAGAGCUAAUAGCUAACUCUUCACCACUAUGAAUUUCUACUGUUAAACAUUCAUUACUACAUAAAUAUUGGGCAAAGUCGUGCACGAUAUCGUGCAUUUUGCAAUUAGAGAUUUCACCAUCAUCACCUUUGUCAAAAUCCUGAAAGAAUGAAUGGCUAGCUAAGAUGUUGAAAUACUCUUCACCAAUAUCCUCCAUCUCUUUGGCUCCUUUCUCACUAAGAUAACCUUGUGCCAUCCAUAGUUCAAUUAACUUAUGCUUCUGUAUUUCAUAGUCUUUCGGAAAGACGGCACAAUAUGAGAAACAACGCUUUACCUUGGAGGGUAAUUCUUUGUAACUCAACAAUAGAGGGGCUAAAAGGCCUUUCUCAAUUGCUUCUAGUUCCCAUAUCUCACUCUCUAAGAUAUUUUGCCAUUCUUUUUCAGUGUUUUUAGACCGCAAGAGACUAGCAAUUGUCUUUGCAGCUAAAGGUAAGCCCUUGCACUUUUUUACAAUUUCUCUACCAAUUUUUUCUAAAUUUUCACGUUUUCCUAUGGUCUUACCAGAAAUUGCCAACGACUGAAACACCGACCAGCAUUCCAUUUCAGACAAUACAUUGACAGAGAUAACAUGAGUUGAUCCCAUAAUACGGGCAACUGUUUCUUUACGUGUGGUAAUUAAAAUUUUACUUCCAUGGAGACUAUUCUUUAAACAUUUGUAGAAUGGUUCCCACUUAUAGUAAUCUUCAUUCCACACGUCGUCUAAGACAAGAAGAAAUUUCUUCCCGGCAACACAUUCUUGAAUAUGUUGCAUGAGAGAUUGAAACUCUACAAGGUCUUUGGCAGAACCUGGCUUCAGAGACUCAAUGAUUGCUCUGGCGAUCCUGAACUCAUCAAAUGGCUCUGACACACAGACCCAUGUUCUUUUCUCAAAAUUUCUUUCAACAUCACCGUUGUUGUAGGCAAAUUGAGCAAGAGUAGUUUUGCCUAUUCCCCCCAUCCCAACAAGUGAGAUGAUAGAGGGGCCUUUCUGUUCUUUACUACCCUCACAUAACAACCUAUCAACGAGUUCGUUCUUCUCUUUUUCUCUACCAAAUAUCUCGGACUCAUCAAUUGAGGAGAUACUUGGUACUCGUUGAUCCGCUCUCUCAUUAGUAACAUUCACAACAAAACCAAACAUGUCUUUCUGUUUGGCAAUAUCAUCAAGAGUUUCGUUGAUUUCUUUUAUCUUCAGAGCAAUGUCACGACGUAAGACAAGUGGUUUGCAGGCAAAGCAAGAUGCAGUAGGAAAGAAGGAACAUACCUUCUUCUUAGGCACUCCGUCGAUCUGCAGUUUGAGCCUUGCAGUGUUCCACUCACCCAACACGUCUUCCAUGUCGUAACAUGUGCAUCUGAGUUGAUCGAGCCAGAGUCUGACAGUUUCCUCCUUCACUUGCCUUUUCUCUGCAUCAUGGAGCACAGCUUCAAUGACGCGGAGACUGCUGGUCAGCUUCUUCACUUCCUUUCCGACACCCGUUACUAGCCUCACUUGUUCCUUCGCCUCUUCAACAGCCAUUGAAGUCAGCUGCUCCAAGAUAGGGGAAAGGAUCGCAUCAACCGUGGUGAAAAAGAAAAAGGAGAGAGAGAAGAAAUUGAUGGUGAAUUGUUGCAAAAGUAAGUAGCUAAUGCUGAAAGAAAUGAAGGAGCUGAUAAUGUGGUGAAAAUGUUGCCGUAUUCUUUCAAUUCUUAUAGUACUGCAAGCAAAAUUCUAAUUUAGAAAUAUUUCAUUUCAGCCCCUUGUGAAAGAAGCUACGGUUAUUAUUAUUACUUUUUUUUUUUUAAUAACAGCAAAGAGUGAAAAUGACGUACAGUUGUGGACAGGAAAUAAUAUAUAUGAAACUGACAAAUUUUUCACGCGGCGAUUCACGCGGUAUAUGAAACAGACAAAGUUUUCUAUGAUCUCUUUUUAAAGAAUUGAACAAGUUGUUAGAUAAUAUUUUUGAUCGUGUCGUCAUAUUGAGAUUUGGAAGCAUUUGCUUUACAAUCACCCAUGAACUUUAUAUUUUUUAGAUUGUUUGAUCUGAAUUAUAAGUGUUUUAUUAGCUUAGAAAUACCUUGACCAUCUCUUUCUUAUUUUCUUCUUCUUCUUUUUUUUUUUUUUUUUAAUUUGACUCGUUUGCAUAAUUAGUUGAAAGGAAAGAAUGAACAUACUAAUAAACUAGGAAAACGCUGCCACAUAAUAUUCUAAGAUUCAUAUCGAACCACUUUAUUUAGAUUUUUUCAUUUUAGCAUAUGUCUGAUAGUGGGAGUUUAGAGUUUAAUCUCUAACUUUGCUUGUGAAGUGGGAAAAAUCAAAUAAUCUUUUCAACUCGUUUUUCAACAAAAAUAGAUCACAAUUCAUCAUCAGUUAUUUCUCAUUAUGUAUAAAAUGAUCAAUCUGGAGCUGGAUAUUCACAUAUUUUUCUAUUUCUAAUCAUCUCAAAAUAUAUAAUAUGAACUUUUAAAAAAAAAAUCAAAUUGUAAUAAAGUGACAUAAAUAUUAAAAAAUGAAAAGAAAAAGUCAAAAAUGUAAUGCGGAAAAAAGACAAAACCUUUUUGUUUGUUCUAUUCAUGGCAUCAUCUAAAUAUGAGAAAUGAUGGGUUGAUUGUCAUUGUGAACAACCAUAUAAUUGCAAGACGUGAAUACCAUCAACGUUAUAAUAAUUCAUGGACCCAUGCAUCCUCUGUUUUUCUAAUUAUUCCGUGUAGAAGGCUAAAGUUUAACGUGUGAUUCUCAAAUUCAUUGUCAAGUGAUUUGAACGUUUUAACGGACAGCGCUUACUUUUCUUUUUGAAGGAGCACAAUAACAACUUGAAGAUUCCUGGAAGUUGCCUGCAGUUCAAAUAUUUUCUUCAGACGAAAACCGUCAAUAAUUUCCAAACUUAGAAGAUAUUUAUUUAUUUUUUCCCAUAACCCACCAAAAACUUUUUCAUUUAGUGUAACUUUGUAAUUUUCUUAGAUGAUACUUAAAACUGCUAAUACCUUCUAAUUAUUGUUUUAAAAAUCUAAAUAAUUGCAUGCCCAAUUAACGGAUCAGUAGUGUCAGUUCGACAUAUUUAUUUUUUUAAAAAAAAGAAAUACACAGUUGUUUGAUGACUCUGGAAUUGAACAUCAGGAAAUAAAGAGAAAAAAUAACACACUUUAUGACGAUCAUUGCAGAUGACAUAACAGAUGUAAGUAUUUAUUGCCAAUUAAUUGGCAUUCUUAUUAUCAAGUAAUUGUUUUAGACUCGAAUUCAAAAGCUCUGCUCUGCUCUGCCCUUCGGUAAUCCGCCUGUUCAAAAAAUAAUAUUGUUUUAAAAAUCUCAGUAACAACAUGCCCAAUCGAUCACACAACGACUUUGUUGAAAUUGAAACAUUAUUGGGAAAUUAAUGAAGAGUAGAGAGCAAUUAGAGAGCUUAAUUAAGCUAAACAAUUUGAUUAUUAACUGUCUAGUCUCUCUUGCACCAUUCCAGUUAUCCUCUGAUCGAUCACACAAUCUAAUGCAUAAUCUAUUCUUUAGCGUGCGGCUUUAAACACAGCUGUUAUAAACUUGGUCAGCUUAACAAAUAUAACGUAACAUAUGAUAUUAUUAAAAUAUUCAAUUAUUCUCUUGGAAAGAAGUAAAUUCACUCAAUUUGAAAAAAGGUUGAUAAAGAUAAAAAUAUUUUAUAUUUUAUUACCUAAUAAUAUUAGAAUCUUAAGAUGCAAUUGGCAUUGUUUUUGUUUUGGUGUUCUUUGUUUUUUUAACGAAUCUUAAUAAAUAUUUUAUUAGAAUCUUAAUAAAUAUUUUAUAUUUAUAACAGUAGUAUUAAAAAUAGCCCAAUCUCGCAAACCAUCAAUUAAAUUUAAGAUAAGUAGUGUUUUAUUAUUCAUUGAGUUAUAAUCUCUAGUAGUUAAGAUUUUUUUGUACGUCAUUAACAUACCAAUAAUGAUAUUCAUCAUUAAAUCUUAUUAUUUUUUUGCAUUUUUUAGGGUGAAAUUGUAAUUUUCAUUUUGGGGGUAAAAAUGUCAUUUUAUUAAGUUUCCGUUAGUUUUCUUAACGGAUUCCAAACGGAAGUGGAAAAGUGAAACAAAAUGUAACUUUAGGUGGAUUCCAGCUAAAAAAAGAAAGAAUUGUGUAUUUUUGAAAAAGUUGGAAAAAAUGGGUGGACGGUGGAUAUUUUCCCUUCAAUUAAUUAUAGAUGCAUGAGACUAAGGGUCUAUUUUAUAGUAAGAUGUGGCUUUUUAAUUAUAACUGUUGUAUAAUAACAACUGUAACUACUAAAAAAAAAAUGAAUUAUGGGAAUCGGGUAAACUUUCAUUUGUAAGUAUUAUGAGUAAUUAAUAAUUUGUAGUUUCGAAAGUAGAAGUACACAUUUUUUGACAUGCCUUGAAAAUCUGUAUGUAACCUUAUAUCUAAAUAACUGAUCAAGUAUAUAUCAAGUAAUUCAAAAAUGGGCUGGGACUGAUGGUAAUUGUAGACGUUUUGAGGAUGAGUGAUACUAUGGGCACUACUCUAGAAACUUUAAAACUCCUUUUCUUUAUUUAUUCAAUCGAGCUCCAACCACUUCCUUCGGCGAUCGAGCUCCAGCCACAGCCAUUCGCAAAUUGCAAUCCACAAUCCGCGCCUGAAAUUGCCAUUCACAAUCCACAACUCACAGCCAUGACUUCACAUAGAGAACAACUCCCACAGCCAUCACGCGACAGCGAGAUCGAGCUCUUUUAACAUUCGAAGAGCAGAUCUGGUUGCGAAAGUUGAUUUUUAAUUUGCUUGCGAGCUGAGAUAUUUCGAAUUUUCUCUUUUAUUUAUUUUUUAUUUUUGUAAGUUACUAAGCCAAAAGCUUUGCAUAAGCUUCUGCUUCGGUUUUGCUAGUAUGAGAAGUAAAUUAAGGGACUUUUACUUGUUUAUUUAUAUUUUUGGUAGUUGCUGCAAGUGAUUUUUCUUUUUGAAUUGUUUUCUUUUGACACUUGUGUUGAACAACGAAGUGUAAUUUCGUUAAGAAGAGGAUGACAAAAUUUGAAGAUUGUGAAGCUGCAAAUGUUUUUUUUCCCUUUUCAUAAAUUGCUCAUGGUGCAGUCUCCUUUUGCUUGUUGAAGAAACAGUUAAGGGGGUAUGUAGUUGGGAAGAAAGAGGAAAUGAAAAUGAAAAGAGAAAGCAGAAGUUAAGUCCUCAGGUGGCAUUUUUUCAAUUAAAAAAAUUAAUGACAUCGUUUUCUAAAGCUUCGGGGUUUGACCCGGGGUAAAUAGCCGAACUCUUUUCUUUUUGAUGGAGCACAAUAACAACUUAAAGAUUCCUGGAAGUUGCCUGCAGUUCAAAUAUUUUUCAUUUGAACAAAAACCGUCAAUAAUUUUCAAACUUAGAAGAUAUUUAUUUAUUUUUCCCAUAACCCACCAAAAACUUUUUCAUUUAGUGUAACUUUGUAUUUUCUUAGAUGAUACUUAAAACUGCUAAUAUCUUCUAAUUAUUGUUUUAAAAAUCCCAAUAAUUGCAUGCCCAAUUAACGGAUCAGUAGUCUCAGUUCGAUAUAUUUAUUAAAAAAAAUAAGAAAUACAGAGUUGUUUGAUGACUCUGGAAAUAAAGAGAAAAAAUAACACACUUUAUGACUAUCAUUGCGAAUGACAUAACAGAUGCCAGUAUUUAUUACCAAUUAAUUGACAUUCUUAUCAAGUAAUUGUUUUAGACUUUAAUUCAAAAGCUAAGCUCUGCUCUGCUCUGCCCUUCGGUAAUUCCCCUGUUCAAAAAAUAAUAUUGUUUUAAAAAUCUCAAUAACAACAUGCCCAACAUAUUUUUUUUUAAAAAAAGGAUCGAGCAACACCGUAGCUUUUGUCAUAACGACUUUGUUGUAACUGAAACAAUAUUGGGAAAUUAAUGAAGAGUAGAGAGCAAUGAGAAAGCUUAAUUAAGCCAAACAAUUUUGAUUAUUAACUCUCUAGUCUCUCUUGCACCAUUCCAGUAAUCCUCUGAUCGAUAACACAAUCUAAUGCAUAAUCUAUUCAUUUAAUUAAUCAAUUUGAAUAUAUAUAUAUAUAUAUAUAUAUUUGUUAGAGUGACGCUAUUGGCACCCCUCUAUAUCAAUUAAAGAAAUAUAUUUUAAAGGGAGCUGGUAAGUAAUUUACAACCCUUCAAACUUACGUGAACAGUAAUAGUAAUUAUAAUAAGUGGUGGGAUCUAGAUCUACUGCAUGAAUUUUAAAGGAACUAUAAAUUAUUUAACAAAAUCUUAUUUUAAAACGAUUGUGCGGGACACAGCACAUGCCAACCCGGGCUUUAUCUCUUUUCACUAAUCAUAUAUGUAGUGGCAGACAUCGGUGGCCAAUUAAGGGAUGAACACAACCACUCCACCAAGUAAAUCUUGACGCGUGUGCUUUUAUUUCCAAUUAUUCUACUGUCUUUUUCUAAUUACUUUUAUCGCAGAAGUAAUUAAUUCUGAAGGAAAUGAAGGAGCUAAUAAUGUCGUGAAAGUGCUGCCACAUUCUUCCAAUUCUUAUGCUGCAAGCAAAGCUCCAAUUUACAAAUAUUUCAUUUCAAAAGAAGUUAUUGUUAUUAUUAUCUUUCUUUAUUCUUUUUAAUUUUUUUGACCAGUGUGGACUGGAAAAUAUUGUCAGGUCCUACAUCCGCGAUUCACGCAGUAUAUGACCUGAUAAAUAAUACACGGGUCUUAUUAUGUUACAGUUUUAUGUGUGUAAUAGCCCAUGACCUGAUAAAUAAUUUAUUAAGAGAAGUAAAAAUUUAAUGAUUGCAUAAAUAAUUCGGUAACAGAAUUCUUUUCACCCGUUAUUAAUCGCUUGCAGAUGACUUACUGAAAUUGUAAAUAUGUUGAACAGUGUUUGACUGUGAAGUGUGAAAAAUUAAAUAAUCUUUACUAUUAGUUUUGCAAUAAUAAUAAACAACAAAUCAUUGUUAAUUAUUUCUUAUUUAUUAUGUAUAAAUUGAUCUAUCCAGAGCUGGAUAUUUACAUAUUCUUCUAUUUUUGAUCAUUUUGAAAUUUAAUAGAAUUUUUUUUUAAAAAAAAUCAAUUUGUAAUAAAGUGUCAUAGAUAUUAAAAAAUGAAUGUUAAGGUCAUUAUUUAUAGAGUUGGCAUUUUAUGACAAGUCUAGUUAAAUUGGAAGUUUAUUUAUUGCAUAUCUUGUAAUAGAGAUUAAUUUAUUAAUUCCCUAAUUUAGUCAGAUUCUAAUUUAUUAGGAAUAUUUGUUUCCUAAUUUAAUUAGAUGUCUAUUUUAGCAAGUCAAUUAAUGGUGGGAUUCUAUAAUUGGCGCAUGAGAUUUAUUUAGAGCAAAAAGUUGGUUCAAAUAGGAAGUCUUAAGUUUGGUAAAUCCAUAGGUUGUAACAUCUCAACUUAGUGAAUUGUUUUUCAUCUGAGUGUGGCCUCGUGGAUGUAGGAUUGAUUAAUCUGAACCACGUAAAAAUCUCCGUAUCAUUUAUUUUCUACAUUUUAUUGUGUUUUUUGAAAAAUUAAUAUUUUUUAUGCGGAUGAACACUAACCGUAAACAGUAAAUGUGAACAGCAACCGUGAAUAAUUGCUGUGAACAGUAUCCAUAAACAAUACUUUUGAAAAAAUUAAUCUAUUUUUGAUACAUCUAAAUUCCUUUCAAUGAAAAUAGAAAGUCAAAAUUGUAAUGCUCAAAAAAGACAUUAAUUGUUGUAACUUAAAAGAUAUAUUCAUAUAAUUUUUCAGUUGUAUAAUAAAUUUUUUUUAUAUUUUUAAUAAUUUUAUUAAAAUUAUUAUUUAAAAUUUAUAUUCAUUAUAUUAUUAAGUUUUAUUUUAUAAUUACAGGUUAUGGGAUGUAAAGGAGUUUGGGAGCUGUAGCCUUUAGUUGGCUUAGGGAGAUGUUAAAGUUUUGAGAAAUGCUUAGAAAUUUAUUUUAUAUAACACGUUCUCAAUUUUAUUACUAUAAACUUACGCUGUAUUGUCUAGUCUUAGUAAGUAACGACUCAAUUGGAUGUGGGAGGAUCCCUUCCGCUUUGACCAAAAAAACUGUUUCGAGGACAGUUUUCUAACUCAACUCAAUUGCGGAACAAACAAAGAAACGCUAAGAACAUUAAUUAAAGUUAACAUACAGAGCAAACAAGUCAAGAGCACACACAAGAGGAGACAGACACUUGGCCAAGAAAAUAAUUGACCAGGGAAUUUACAAGGAAACUCUCUUUUCCAGAAGUUACAAGAGCCCUGACACUAUUCCUCUCGAGGUCUAGUUCAAGUCGCCCAAGCCUCUCAAGCUCCCUUAAGAACUCUGCUUUCUUGCUGUUCAAGAAAGCGCCUGAUUGGAAUCACAUGCUCCACGUGACAUCUGGCAUAACUAAAUCUGCUGCCGUACCCAGCCAAUUUAUGGUGCCACUUAUGAUACCCUGUCUCGUCAGCUUCCGUACCCUGCGUCAUCAUAGGACCUUACAUCUUGGAACCUCCAUGAAAGCUGAAUCUCUAACAGCCCAUCAUAAAGAUAUUAGUUCUAAAAUAGGGAAAUUACCAAAAAUACCUGCGCAUUUUGAAAUUUGUCAAAAAAUGAAGAGUAGAAAGCAAUGGGAAAACGUAAUUAAACAACCAAUUUGAUUCCUCGGAUCGCUUUCAUCUCAGGACUCUUUGUCUUCCCGUGCGUCUUCGAUUCCACAGGACAAUCUUGGAUUGAAUUUAUACAUCAGAAGAAAAUAUCAGUAUGCCCAAAAUAAAAAGUUGCUUCCAGUGCAGAAAUAAGAGAAAUUGACACACCUUUUUCCACCACAGAAGAUGGUGUCAUAUAGAAGUAUUCUGUCGCAGACUUAACAUACCUAUCAAGUAAUUAAUAAUUCCUACUUUAAAAAGUAGAGCAAUUGGAUAUCUAAUCCGAAAAUUCAAGAUAUAAUAACUCUUGAAAAUUAUAUAUUCAUAUACAUGUUAGUAGCGUGAUGCUACCAAUAUUCGCACCUUUAGCAUUCAAACACUUGAUCAUUGAAAGAAUUUAAGAAAAAUGUUGAUUGGUUACUGACAUUAACAUAACAUAAAAUUUGAUCCACAAUUUACUCAAUUUCUGAGUUGGCUUACCAAAAGUAUUGUAGCAGAAAUAACCAAAUCAACCCAGGUCCUUAUAUGGAGCCCCUGCGCGUCAAUUAAAGUAAAAGCUCGAUCCUCUGUUAUCCGAAAUGGUCAAACAAAUAUUAAACCAAAAUGUUGAAGUCUCUUUCUUUUGCAAUUCUAGCUCUAACUGAUGAGAUUGAUGGAAAAGAAUAACCAACAUUAAGAUUAAUUUUUAUUUCAAUUACUAGGAAAUAGAGAAUUAAAUGGAAUUCUCUCAGUAAAGCUCACCAAUAUCUGUCUCCGUCAUCACAUAGAUAUAUCAGACUAGCUAUCUAAUCCUUUUAUUUUAUUUUUUUCCUUUUUCAUUCAACAGCUUCAGCAUAUAACAAGAAAGCUUGGGCUCCUACAAUGCUUAGGCCUCUUCACGAUUAAGUACUCGUACGGUAGCGCAAGUAGCAGGCCUGGCACCUCUCUGGAUCUGCCAGAGAAUAAAUCUUUACACAUGCCCCCUGAAAAUCUGUUACAUAAAUUAUGUCCUAAUAAUCAGCAAUAAUUCAAAGAUGCGGAUAAAAAAGCACUAUAAUGUACAAACAUACACCUCGUUCAUAUUUUUUGUAUCACAUGAGGCAUAAACUCCUCAAGAGUCAAGUCCGACAUUUAAUUCAACCCAUAAACUUGUGCUUGUAGCCCGCAUAAAUGGUUAAACAAAUAUUAUAUUUUCGACUUGAAGAUUGGAUUACAAAUAUAUAAUAGGAAAGUAAAAUGGAGGAGGAGAAAGAAAUUACCUGUAGUAGUUGAGAAAUUACUGCCAAAAAUAGAAUUACCCGUAGGAAUUUUAUUUGGUUAGUAAUUGAGAAAGAAAUUACCUUAGGUGAUGGCUGAAAGGAAUUUAGAUCUAUCAUAAAUAGAUGUAAGCAAUUAAAAACUAAAAAUUAAUUACUUAAUUAAUUUUUUUGGAAAUACUGUUCACUGUUACUGUUUACGGUUCUGUUCACCACAACUGUUUACCGUUACUGUUCAUCCGCAUAAAAAAUAUUAAUUUUCCAAAAACACAAUAAAAUGCAGAAAAUAAAUGACACAGAGAUAUUUACGUGGUUCAGAUUAAUCAAUCCUACAUCCACGAGGCCACGCCAAGAUGAAAAGUAAUUCACUAAGUUGAGAUGUUACAACCUAUGGAUUUACCAAACUUAAGACUCUCACUUAUAGUUUAUCACCAUACAGUUUACUCAACCUUGGACUGAAUCUGCUUCUCUUAAAUAAUUGCUACCCCUCUUGAUCCACGAUUCUCAAGGCACUUCGCAAAGUGAUCAAUAGCAAUUCUUCAAUUCUUCAACGUCUAGUGAUCCAAGAUCCACAUAGAGUCUCAACAGAGAUGAAAAGAAGAUAAUAAAACAAAUCAACACAACAUGGUGCGCCAAAUUCGGAUUCUCUGGGGAGGAGGCCGAAUUAUUGCUUCUCUGCUUUAUGCUUUGCAUUGUGCCUGUCUUCAAUUGUGAAAUACCUCUAUUUAUAUAGGCACUAGGGUUUCACCAAAAUAGAAAGUUUGAAAAGACUUAGAUACUUUCCAAAUAAGAGUUUCUUUCCUCUUAUAAUUCCUAUGAAUCUGAAUAGGAAUAAAUAUGAUCUUCUUGCAUUACUUGUCUCCUAAGAAAUAUCUAGAGCAUUUAAUGACUUCUUGUUUGAACUAACUUCUUGCUCUAAAUAAAUCUCAUGCGCCAAUAAUAAAACACCACCAUUAAUUGACUUGCUAAAAUACACAUUUAAUUAAAUUAGGAAACAAAUAUUCCUAAUAAAUUGGAAUCUCACUAAAUUAGAGAAUUAAUAAAUUAAUCCCUAUUACAAGAUAUGCAAUAAAUAAACUUCCAAUUUAAGUAGACUUGUCAUAAAAUGUCAACUCUAUAAAUAAUGGAAUUAACAAUGGCUAUGGUACUUGCGGUACUCGUUUUAAAAAUCCUCAAGGUUCGAAUUUGACAUAUUGGUGAUUGAUUAGGAUGCUGGGAAUGUGGCAUAUCUUGGGGCAGUCCUCUCUUGUUUCCUUUCCAUGAUGUUCUUCUAAAACAGAACAUGAACUAAUAUCCGAAUCCUGUAGUGUUGUUUGUUGUGCGCGGAAUGCGGAAUCAAGCGCACCAAAAAAUCACAGAAAAAUAAAGGACACAAAAUUUAACUCAGAUACUAUCUAUGAAUAAUAUAACACAGUACCUCACUUCAUGCAAGCUUUGAUAUAUUAUUCCUUCUAUCUAUUUAUCCACUGCUAAUUGUUUUAUAAAAAAUUUGGUGCACUGUAGUGAACCCAAUAACUCCUAGCUAGAAGCAACAAUGUCCAAUUAAGCCGCUGAUACAAUCAAUCAAACAAUAAGGAAAGGAUCAACAACACAAAAAGCACACGCAAGGCACAAAGAUUUACAUGAUAUAUCCACAGGUGGUGAUGCUGGUAUCCACUGUACGUGUGAUGAAAACAAGUGUAUAUAUAUAAAGAACACUACCUGUCUCCUCACAAUAACCCCCUAGAACACAAGCGCAAAUAAAAAUGAGCCAAUUCCUGCUCUGCUGUGCCCUCAUGUACGUAACUCCUCUGCUAAGAAAUAUUGCCUUAAAAUAUCGGUAGCAUAUGCAUGCAUGACCAGCAAAUCAAUUAGACAUAUAAAAUUAUCAACCACACAGGAAAUCAGCAAAUCAGUGGUUUCAUGAAUUUGUAAUAUUUGAACAUCAGAAUAUGAAGAGUACAGGGCAAUGGGAAAAAGUAAUUAACCAUCCAAAUAAAUUUAAAUCCAAAUAAGAUAAGUAACGUAUGAANNNNNNNNNNNNNNNNNNNNNNNNNNNNNNNNNNNNNNNNNNNNNNNNNNNNNNNNNNNNNNNNNNNNNNNNNNNNNNNNNNNNNNNNNNNNNNNNNNNNGUAUUAUUAUGGUCACUGUCUUCAACCUGCUAACCAAAUCCAAAAAAUUGGUCUUCCCGACUGAGUAAGUGAGCCCUGAAAAGACAUUACCCAGCUUAAAAGCCAAAUGAAUGUAGACUUGUGAUUGGUGCAAUUGGUUUUAAAGAAAUUAGUAUGCAUCCCCACUGAAAGCCAGUAAAUAGAGUUGAAGAAGAUGCUAAUGUGCCACAGCUAACAUAAGCAUAAUUUGAUCAGCCGAAUGACUACCAAAUGAAAAAGCGACAUAAACUUAACAGAACUGUUAGGAUUAAUCGAAGACACAUAUAUUUGUGCCAAUUUUCACACCUUUAGCAUUCAAACCUUGCUCUAGAACAACUGCUGUGGUCCGAUGCUGCAGGCAAAAAAUUUGACCUACGAAGCAGCCUCACUCACCAACCCAGCCCCAAAUAAAUUUUUUGAAAUGCCUUGAAAACCUUAACAUUAUAUCCAAAUAAACAUAACUUGUGUUUGUGACGUAAUGAGAUUGCAGUGCAUUCGUAGAGUGUACACUUAUCUGCCAUUUCGUCGGAACAAAUUUUUUUACUUCUCUUAAAAUUUGCAUAAUAAAUUGCAAUAUGGACAAGUACCUACUUGGAUAUGAUUAUAUUUUUGUUCUAGUUUAUAACCUGUUUUCAAUUUUUUAGAUAUCUAUGAUUUUCAUUAAAUCACUACUCUAGUUGGCAUUUCGCACCACCCGCAAUUGAUUAGUUGCUCUCUAAUCCAACAAAAUUAAUAUGGAAAGAAAUGAAUGGCCAGCGAUAAAUAUUCCAACAUUAUGCAUUAAGCCAUUCCACUCCUACAAAACUGAAUCUCUUUGACAGAAUGCUUUUUCACGUGAUCAUGUAUGUGUCAAAGUUUUGUGACAGAUAUAUUAUUUUGCAGAUGUGGCAAACACAAUCGUUUCAAAAUCUUAGAGGCCUUGAAAUUUUGAUUAUUACAAAAUCUAAGAGGAUAGUUACAAAAUUCUGUCACAAAUAGUAAAAGUUAAGUGAUUCUUGACAUAAUACUAUCAAAAGGUUUAAAUAAAAUCUCACAUUUUAAUAUUUUACAAAAAUGUGUUUUAAAUUUUUUUUUUGACAUAAUUCUAUCCAUGAAUUUUCUUUUAAAAUUUUUAAUUCCACGUAGGCAUUGAAAAAUGACAGCUUUAAAAGAUUCCAAUGAUUUAACUGAUGUGAAUAUAUCUUCAAUAAGUCAACAACAAAAUUCUAUGAAACAAAAUUUACUAUUUUAAUUAUUUUAUAUUGCCACAUCAAUAAACUAAAACGAUGACAUUUCAUAUGCUCAAAAAAGAAAAACUUAUGUAGGCCGAGAUCGCCAUCUCAUCAUUAUUAAAGAGGCGUGUUCAACCAAUAAGAAUUUGCCAUCUAAAAAGUUCAAUCAGUCUUUUGAAAAGCCUGGCUCGAGUCUGAGCCUGAGUGUUUCAGGUCGGACUCAGCCUAAGCUUGGGCAUAAAACAGUAAAACACAAUAAAUGCUCAAAAAAUAAAAGAAUAAAUAUUUUAUUUUUAAUUAAAAUACACUUUUUAAUAUAUGUUUAACGUAUCCGGAACAUAUAUUUAAAGUUUUAAUUCUUUAACAGAACUUUUAAUACCUAAUCUAAUAAGAAAGUUUAUAAAUUAUAAAUUUAUAGAAUACAAUGAAAAAGGUUUAAAAAAAUUAAAGUAUAAAUAUGAGGUUUUACAAUUAAAAUAUCAAAUGGUGGCAAAAUGAGCAGCCAAAAAGUGCGCCAAAUCAAAAUUAUCCAAAAUUCCUCUCUUCGAUUCCCUUUUUAUUUUAUGUACCGCUGAUAUAAAAUUAACACAAAAACAUUCUGAAAUCGAAAGCUUGGAACGAAUCUCACGCCUCUCGCCUUCUCUUUCUCGCAUUUCUCAUUCCUCUUUGCCUCUCUCUCUCUCUCUCUCAAAGGAUUACGUUUAUGGAUUUGCCAUUGNNNNNNNNNNNNNNNNNNNNNNNNNNNNNNNNNNNNNNNNNNNNNNNNNNNNNNNNNNNNNNNNNNNNNNNNNNNNNNNNNNNNNNNNNNNNNNNNNNNNNNNNNNAGAGAGAAAUGUUCAAGUCAGGAAUUUUAAAGUGCAGGAAAGUACGGGAAACCUUUAAAACCGCAUGGUUUUAAAGGCUUAAAACUGUAAGCCUUUAAAGCCGUGUGAUUUUAAAGUUUUUCUGGACUUUCCCGUACUUUAAAUUCCCUGACCAGAAAACUACUAUAUAUAUAUAUAUAUAUAUAUUUGUAUAAUUUCAGCAAAGGUCCAGAUCGCUCAAGGCCUAAUUUCAUCUCAAGGUUUGUCAUUUUCCUCUUGAUUGCCUUUCGUCAUUGGUUUCUCAUGUGACAUUACUUUACUUUGUUCUUUGCUUAUUGUAAAUUUAUUCACGGUUUCUACAUUAUAAGUUACGGUCUUUGUUUACUUUUAUUAAAAAUUAUGGUAUAUGAAUAAUAAUAAUAAUAAUAAUAAUAUUGGCUUGUUUGCGUAAUUGUCUUCGAUAUUGACUGUAUUUACAAGAUUCUCUGUGACAUAUUUCUUAUUGUGAUUGUUUAAUUAGUCUCGAUUGCAAUUUUUACAAGAUUUGAUGAAUGUUAAAAUUUAAGUACCAAUUUAAAUUUGUACACCAAGUGUUUGUUAUAAUGCCAUGUGUUAUCUUCAAUAGAUUUUUUUUUUCUUUAACACGUAGUAUAAGCCUGAUAAUAUUUUUCAAUUUCUUUCCAAGAUGCAGUUUUUGAUAAAGAAUAAAACAAAUGAUUGAGACUGUUUCGAUGCUAAUUUUUCAAAUUAGCGCAUAUUAUGCUACUUCAUCUCAAGCAACCUAUGAUGAUAGCUAAUAUUGAUGCAAUAUUCUGUCAUGCCUGCGGAUUCAACUUGCUAAGAUUUUGGUUAUGCCUUCAGGUUCAAGCAUUGUUGCUGAUUAUGUGAGCUGUUGAGAUUUUAGUAUUGAGCAUGGCUGCUUUAGAUUCAAUUUGAGCAAAUGUAAUUGUUUCCUUUUAAAAAAAAAUUACAUUUUCAGAAACUGUUAUAAAGAUUGUCAGCAGUAUUAUUUCGUAUUAAUGUCAACUUCUCAUUUACAUAUCUUAACUAAAGCUUUAAUUUCUUUUAAUUUCUCCAUCCUUCAGGGGAGGAUUUGAUGAUUUGCUAUUGUGUGAGAAGAAAGCCAAGAAGCAGAUGUAGAGGGUUGUUAUUGUUUGGGAAUUAUUUUUCAGUGGGGACAAUUUCAUAAAAGUAAUUUAAUAAUGGAUCAAUUUUAUAAAUUUUCUUUUGUAGUCAGGGCGAACUAAUAUGUUACAAUUCAAAAUAUUAGCGAAACGAUUUUCUUCUCUCUCUCAAAUCAUGCUCACCACUCUCAAUCGAAAAAACAUAGUCCUCUGCUCUGACUUCUCAGUUCUCACCCUUAAUAACACAGUUCUUUUUUUGUACUCCAUCGAAAAUUCAUAAAAUAAUGAUAAUGAGACUAUUAUUGAAUAUUUUUAAAAUAUGAAAAAGCAUUGAGAACAAGUGUAAGAAUAUUUUUACUGAUAUCAAUGAGUAUUAAACUUUAAACAAUUAUUUUCACUAAUUCUUUUAUUAUAAUAUUGUCCCCAAUGAAUUAAUUUCCUGGAUCACCUCUAUUUGAAUUUUAUUUUUUUACUAUUUUUUUCUCAUUGUUAAAUUUUCACAUAUGUAUCUUUCAAGUACAAAAUCCCUUUUUUUCUCUUUUUUUUUUCUUAAUCUUGUUUAAUAAGAACUGAAGUUAAUCUUAAAUGUUAAUUGUUCGUUUUGACAAACAUAGUUCUAUGUGUAUGUGACUUUUAAUUUCUGUUAUUCCCUUUUUUCAGAUGUAACCUUGAACAUUAUUAUAACAUAGUGUGGUUUUUUCUUAUAUUAAAAGUUUGGAGGUGGUCAAAUGGGUAAAUUUUCCAAUAAUUUUCCAACGUGUCUAUGAAUCUUGUGUCGGCUCUUCAUAAUCUUUAUCAAAUUCUCAAUAAUUUUUAUCUUAUCUGAUAUAAUAUUAAAAGCUUGAACUCCUAUAGAACUCUCGAUGAAUUUCUUUCUAUUUCUUGGAGUUCACUUAUACGUGACAGAUGUAAAAUUUAAACCCUAAUAUCAAUGAAAAUACGUAUUAUCCCAAGUAAUUAAAUGGGACCGUUUUGCUAGGAAACAGACAAGAAACGACAGUGAAUACAUUUUACACCAAAUUUCUUAAAAAGAAAUUGAUAAAAUAGGAUGCCUGCGUUCCAAGAGUGCUUUCUUAAAAAUAGAUACACAAAAAUAUUUUAAAGUGUUUUUAUAAGGGGAAAAAAAACUUAUUAAUAUGAUGCAUGCAUUUCAAGAGUGUGCUUUCUUAUAAAUUGUUGUUAUGAAAAUAAUAAUAAUAAUAAUAAAUUAAGAUUUGAAUUUGAAUGACUAAUUAAUUAAUUAAACUAGUAGUAGGUAAACCCAUGUUAUUAAUUUUUUUUAAUUUUAUAUUAUAAGUUCUGAUUACAUUCCUCAAAUCUGUUGAAAGUUAUGCACUUAACACAUCUGAAGAAAAAUUGAGUUUGAUAUAUUGAUUGAUUGCACAAAUAUGGUCUAUAUAGAGUAGACGGACCCCGUUGGGAGACAUUUUGAUAUGAGGGUCUGAGGAUGGGUUUGUGUUUUCCAAUUGAGUUUGAUUAUAUUGAUUCACAAAUAUUCAUGUCUUGUUUUUGGUUGGUGCAUACUUUUAAUUAGGGAUGGCAAUGGAUUGGAUCUGAUCCAAGAUUCAUGUGAUCCAAAUCCAAUCGGAUCGGAUUUGAAUCGGUUUAAAAUGGAUUUGGAUCGGAUUUGGAUAUCCAUGUGCGGAUCUAAGACGGAUCUAGAGCAGAUCUAAAUCUAUCUUAAUAUCUAAAUCCAUAUCCAUAUCCACUCAUCUUUUAAUUUUAUUUUAUUUUAAAUGUUUCUUAACAAUUGUGAAAUUAUAAUGAUAAUAAAUUUUAUUCAUAACAUAUUAGUAGUAUUUACUAUCCAUUUAAACUCUCAAAACUUAAAUGUUAGUUUUGUAAAUUUAAAGGUCAGCCAGCCCCAAAGCAUGUACAUGCAAUAUUCAAAUUGCAAGUCAAGUAAUAUAACCUGGCAAUUUAUUUUAUUAUAUUGGCCAAAUAAUUUUUAAGAAAUAUAGUUAUUCAUAUAUUUAAUCAAAUAUGGUCAUAAUAAAAAUAAUAAAGGACUGAAUAUAAAUCAUAUUUAAUUUAUAUGUCAUUAUCUAAUGUUGUAGGAAUGAUGGUAGGUGUAUCGUGGAUAUUAGAAUGAUGAAGGAGACAAUAGAAUAUUAGAUUGGUCUUACUCCUGCAAUUACUUCGGAAUGAUAUUUUAUUAUCUUUCUUAUUUGUUGUUUUGGUGUAAAAGUAUAAGCUACAAUAUUUAUUAUAUUUUUGAGAAAAUUAUAUAAUUUAUUUGUUAUCAAUACAUUUUAGCCUUCAAUUUUCAAUCUAAAAAAUUAUUACUUUUUUAUUACUGAAUUUUAGAAUUCAUGACGGAUCUAGAGCAGAUUUGGAUUUUAAUUUUUUUUUUCGGAUUUGGAGCAGAUAUAGAUAUUUAUUUCUUUUUUGGAUCUGGAUAUGAAGCGAAAAAUAUGGAUUCAUGACGGAUCUGGAGCAGAUACGGAUCUUAAUUUUUAUUAUGGAUUUGGAUUUGGAGCAAAGUAGAUCCAAUCCAUAUCUAUACCAUUGCCAUCCCUACUUUUAAUGACUUUGUUUUGCGGUUCUUGUGUUGUAUGUACAUAUUGUUUCCUUUUCUGUCACUAUAUUCUUACAAGGACUUUUUUGAUAGAAUAAAAUUAUGUCAGUAACAUGGUCUGUGACAAAAAUUAUUCUGUAAAAAAAAAAAAACUCAAUUUUGUAGUGGUUCCAAAUAAUGGUUUAGUUUCUUUCCUCCUCGUUUUGUCAAUAAUUGAUUCUAUUCCUGGUUAAAACAAGUUCUUUACUUCUCUAAAAAUGUGCAUAAUUUCCCCACUUAUAGAAGUGUCAAGAUAUUUUUGACUUUCUUUUUUUUUAAGGACUAAUACUAAUUUAUUGUUUGGUUGUAAGUACUAGAAAUCAAACAGGAGAAAAUAAUUGAGUUUUUUUUGUUAACUUAAAAAUACGUAUUAUAAAUGUUACUUAUACAAAUGCAUAUUACUAUUCAAAAUAAUAAAAAUUUUGCAUUGGAAACAAUUUUGAAAAAAAAAUAAAAGUUUUUAAUGGAGAAAGGAAUUGUGGAGGGAAAGUUUGAUAGAAGAUGCACACUAGCUAGUUUUGGAAUUAUACCGUCAGGCGUCAAUCAUUUUAUAAAAAAAAAUGGAAAUAAUUUGAUCAGCCACCAGAGUUUUACUUCAGUGAUUUUCUCAAUACGACGUACGGUCCUCAAAACCUUAUCAUGAUGCUUGUAUAUUCUAAGCUUCAUGACAUCAUAUUAAAAACGUAUUGCUAAGGUAAUUUGAAAUUCGUUUUAUCCAAUGAAUGUUACAUUUACUGGUAUGUUUAAUAUUUUGUUUUGGUUAAAAAUUUUGCUAUCUAACAGCUAAUAACUGAAUUUGACUCAUUUUUAUGUAAAUUUUAUAGACCCACCGAUUCACCAUUUUUUUUAAUGUUAUGAUCAUUGUAGGCAUGUUAUAUUUUAAAUUAUGACUCCAUGCGAAAUCAAAAUUUAAAUUUCACCAUCUUUUAUAGGAUUAGAUUAUGAUAAUCAAAUAACACAAUAAACAAACACAAGGUAAAAAAAUUUACAUGGUUCGACAUAUUAAUUAAUAUGCCUACAUCCACGGAUGAUGAUAUUAAUUAAUGAAAAAGUGUAUAAAUAACAAUAAGCUCUCAUGUGCGCCAAAAAGAAAAAAAAAAGAAACACCAAAAUCAACACUCAAAAUCAAUCAAUCCCCAGCAGUUUGGCCUCACAAGAGCUCUCUCUGUGUUGUGCUUUCCCUCAUUCAUUCUCUUUACAAAUACAAGGCUCGCAAAAAAACAAACCGAAUUACUAAAAACAUACAUAACAGAUUAAAAAAGCACGCGCCGCGCCCGUCCCCCAAUUCCUGAUUUGCGACGCUGAAAAAUAUCGCUUUCCCCAAAAAAAAAAACAAAUGAAUCAGUUACACAAAUAUAUCUAAUUUUAAAUUAAUGAAGAAGAGUAGAGAGAGAGCAAACGAGAAGGAAAGCGUAUACAAAUUAUAAUUACUAACCAGAGUUAUUAGCACCAUUACAUAUAUAUAUCCCUGCUGAAUUCCCCCUCCUCUGUUCACCAUUCGUUUCUAAAAUGGAUUAAAAAAUAACUACUAAUUAAUUUUAAUUAAAAUAGAGUGAGACACGCAAUGCAUGCAGGAGAUCUAGAAAUAAAUUACCCGUCGCGGUGGCCGUGGGUGAUUGUAAUUGACUAAUUGCAGCCGCGCGCUUUCAGGCAAUGGAGAUUUUGGGAAUGUGGCGUAUCUUAGGCCAGUCGUCUCCUGUCUCCUCUCUGUAACGUUCUUGUAAAAUAGGACAUUCCCCAAAAAUCUCCAAAUUCUGGAGCGUUGACUUCUGAAGAAGGUGAUCGGGCAGUGCUUUUAAUUUAGGGCAUCUCAAAAUAGUCAACCUAGAAAGACGCGGCAUGAUUAUGAUUUCUCCCUUCAUUGCAGUCCCGAAAUCCCACUCUUCCAAUUCUUUUAUAAAACGAAAUUCCAGCUCUUUCAAUUUGGGAAAGGCAAUAACUGAGGAGCCAUCCGUAUCACUUUCUACCCCCAGAAAUUCGUUACCCACUCUUUUCACACCCAACAUUCCGCCAAUAAGAAGACCUUCAAGGGAUGGCAAUUUUCCCAAAGGAGGCAAAUGCUCGCAAUUUCUCCACCAGAAGAGAGAUAAAUCCUUUAAGUUGGUUAACGACAUGAACCAAUUUAUGGGGACAACAUUCCUCCUCCCUCUGUAUCCAUUUAUCCGUAAUUUCUUUAAAUUAGGAGGUGGUCCCAAGGCUUCAAGAAGCCGUUCAUCUUCAUCCUCCUCAUUCUCCCUCCUCCCAGCUAGUUCUUCAUCUCCAUCUCUUAAAUGAUCAAAAUAAAGUUCCAACUCAACGAGAUAUUUCUUUUUCUCAAGUUCAGCCCUUCUAGCCUCCCCCGCAUCUGACACACCACCCAGCCCACGUAUACUACAUUGUCGAAGGAGGUUAAGCUUUUUAAGAGACCCAAGGCUACAUGCUCUAUCAUACCCUCCCCCCACAACAAACUUUGUCACAUCCCGAAGACUGAUUAAUUCCCCAAUCCCUACCGGCAAGUAUCUUAAACAAUCAGUGUCUUCAUUGUGUAAAUACAUCAGCUUUCUUAACUUCCCAAUCCCUCGAGGUAAUUCUCUAAGAUUUUCACAUUCAUCAACAUUUAAACGUUCUAAAUUAUAUAACUCACACAACGUCUCGGGUAAUUUUUCUAUCUUCUUUUGACCUUUCAAAUUAAGGUAUUUCAAAUGUAACAAUUUUUCUAUAUUUGUUGGAAUUUCCUUGAUGUCAUUCACACUUGACUGCCUAUCACCCGCCUUUAAUUUUAAUGCCCUUAAACAAGUUAAUUUAUCAAAUAAUUGAGGCAGGACUUCACUAGACCAUGAAUAUUCAUCACUUUUAACUAAGAGGCUACGCAAUCCUCGCAAUCCUUUAACAUUACCCCAAAUGGAGAUCGGAACCGAAGCCCCCCUACGUAGAGUUAACAGUAAAUGAAGGAUUUUUUUCUCCCCAAAAGAGCUAAUAGCUAACUCUUCACCACUAUGAAUUUCUACUGUUAAACAUUUAUUACUACAUAAAUAUUGGGCAAAGUCGUGCACGAUAUCGUGCAUUUUGCAAUUAGAGAUUUCACCAUCAUCACCUUUGUCAAAAUCCUGAAAGAAUGAACGGUUAGCUAAGAUGUUGAAAUACUCAUCACCAAUAUCCUCCAUCUCGUUGCCUCCUUUCUCACUAAGAUAACCUUGUGCCAUCCAUAGUUCAAUUAACUUAUGCUUCCGUAUUUCAUAGUCUUUCGGAAAGACGGCACAAUAUGAGAAACAACACUUUACCUUGGAGGGUAAUUCUUUGUAACUCAACAAUAGAGGGGCUAAAAGGCCUUUCUCAAUUGCUUCUAGUUCCCAUAUCUCACUCUCUAAGAUAUUUUGCCAUUCUUUUUCAGUGUUUUUAGACCGCAAGAGACUAGCAAUUGUCUUUGCAGCUAAAGGUAAGCCCUUGCACUUUUUUACAAUUUCUCUACCAAUUUUUUCUAAAUUUUCACAUUUUCCUAUGGUCUUACCAGAAAUUGCCAACGACUGAAACACCGACCAGCAUUCCAUUUCAGACAAUACAUUGACAGAGAUAACAUGAGUUGAUCCCAUAAUACGGGCAACUGUUUCUUUACGUGUGGUAAUUAAAAUUUUACUUCCAUGGAGACCAUUCUUUAAACAUUUGUAGAAUGGUUCCCAGUUAUAGUAAUCUUCAUUCCACACGUCGUCUAAGACAAGAAGAAAUUUCUUCCCGGCAACACAUUCUUGAAUAUGUUGCAUGAGAGAUUGAAACUCUACAAGGUCUUUGGCAGAACCUGGCUUUAGAGACUCAAUGAUUGCUCUGGCGAUCCUGAACUCAUCAAAUGGCUCUGACACACAGACCCAUGUUCUUUUGUCAAAAUUUCUUUCAACAUCACCGUUGUUGUAGGCAAAUUGAGCAAGAGUUGUUUUGCCUAUGCCCCCCAUCCCAACAAGUGAGAUGAUAGAGGGGCCUUUCUGUUCUUUACUACUCUCACAUAACAACCUAUUAACGAGUUCGUUCUUCUCUUUUUCUCUACCAAAUAUCUCGGACUCAUCAAUUGAGGAGAUGCUUGGCACUCGUUGAUCCGCUCUCUCAUUAGUAACAUUCACAACAAAACCAAAUAUGUCUUUCUGUUUGGCAAUAUCAUCAAGAGUUUCGUUGAUUUCUUUUAUCUUCAGAGCAAUGUCACGACGUAAGACAAGUGGUUUGCAGGCAAAGCAAGAUGCAGUAGGAAAGAAGGAACAUACCUUCUUGUUAGGAACGAGAGCAUCAUUCUCGUGAUCAUCCACUCCGUCGAUUUGCAGUUUGAGCCUUGCAGUGUUCCACUCACCCAACACGUCUUCCAUGUCGUAACAUGCGUCUCUGAGUUGAUCGAGCCAGAGUCUGACAGUUUCCUCCUUCACUUGCCUUUUCUCAGCAUCAUGGAGCACAGCUCGAAUGGCUCGGAGAUUGCUGGUCAGCUUCUUCGCUUCCUUUCCGACACCCGUUACUAGCCUCACUUGUUCCUUCGCCUCUUCAACAGCCAUUGAAGUCAGCUGCUCCAAGAUAGGGGAAAGGAUCGCAUCAACCAUGGUGAAAAAGAAAAAAGAGAGAGAGAAGAAAUUGAUGGUGAAUUGUUGCAAAAGUAAGUAGCUAAUGCUGAAAGAAAUGAAGGAGCUGAUAAAGUGGUGAAAAUGUUGCCGUAUUCUUUCAAUUCUUAUAGUACUGCAAGCAAAAUUCUAAUUUAGAAAUAUUUCAUUUCAGCCCCUUGUGAAAGAAGCUACUGUUAUUAUUAUUACUUUUUUUUUUUUUAAUACCAGCAAAGAGUGAAAAUGACGUACAGUUAUGGACAGGAAAUAAUAUAUUGUUAGGUCCUACAUCGGCGAUUCACGCGAUAUAUGAAACUGACAAAGUUUUCCCUGAUCACUUUUUAAAUAAUUGAACAAGUUGUUGGAUAAUAUUUGUGAUCGUGUCGUCAUAUUGAGAUUUGGAAAUAUUUGCUUUAUAUGUGUAUUAUUAGCUUAGAAAUACCUUGACCAUCUCUUUCUUAUUUCCUUCUUCUUCUUUUUUUUUUUAAAUUUGACUCGUUUGCAUAAUUAGUUGAAAGGAAAGAAUGAACAUACUAAUAAACUAGGAAAACGCUGCCACAUAAUAUUUUAAGAUUCAUAUCAAACCACUUUAUUUUAGUUUUGUCAUUUUAGCAGAUGUCUGAUAGUGGGAGUUUAGAGUUUAAUCUCUAACUUUGCUUGUGAAGUGUGAAAAAUCAAAUAAUCUGUUCAACUUGUUUUUCAACAAAAAUAGAUAACAAUUCAUCAUCACUUAUUUCUCAUUAUGUAUAAAAUGAUCAAUCUAGAGCUGGAUAUUCGCAUAUUUUUCUAUUUCUAAUCAUUUCAAAAUAUAAUAUGAACUUUAAAAAAAAAUCAAAUUGUAAUAAAGUGACAUAAAUAUUAAAAAAUGAAAAUAAAAAGUCAAAAAUGUAAUGCGGAAAAAAGACAAAACCUUUUGUUUGCUCUAUUCAUGGCAUCUAAAUAUGAGAAAUGAUGGGUUGAUUGUCAUUGUGAACAACCAUAUAAUUGCAACACGUGAAUACCAUCAAAGUUAUAAUAAUUCAUGGACCCAUGCAUCUGUAUUUCUAAUUAUUCCGUGUAGAAGGCUAAAGUUUAAACAAUAAUAUUGUUUUAAAUAUCUCAAUAACAACAUGUCCAACAAAUCAGUUUGACAUGACAUAAUUUUAGUCAUAACGACUUUGUUAUAACUGAAACAUUAUUGGGAAAUUAAUGAAGAGUACUAAAUGAAACAACGAUGAGAAAGCUUAAUUAAGCCAAACAAUUUUGAUUAUUAACUCUCUAGUCUCUCUUGCACCAUUCCAGUAAUCCUCUGAUCGAUCACACAAUCUAAUGCAUAAUCUAUUCAUUUAAUUAAUCAAUUUGAAUAUAUAUAUAUAAGUGGUGGGAUCUAGAUCUACUGCAUGAAUUUUAAAGGAACUAUAAAUUAUUUAACAAAAUCUUAUUUUAAAACGAUUGUGCGGGACACAGCACAUGGCAACCCGGGCUUUAUCUCUUUUCACUAUUCAUAUACGUAGUGGCAGACAUCGGUGGCCAAUUAAGGGAUGAACACAACCAACCACUCCACCAAGUAAAUCUUGACGCGUGUGCUUUUAUGUCCAAUUAUUCUACUGUCUUUUUCUAAUGACUUUUAUCGCAGAAGUAAUUAAUUCUGAAAGAAAUGAAGGAGCUAAUAAUGUCGUGAAAGUGCUGCCACAUUCUUCCAAUUCUUAUGCUGCAAGCAAAGCUCCAAUUUACAAAUAUUUCAUUUCAAAAUAAGUUAUUGUUAUUAUUAUCUUUCUAAAUACUUACUGGUCAAAUCCAAUCAUAGUUAUUAAUUUAUUAAGCCCACGACCUGAUAAAUAAUUUAUUAAAAGAACACCAUGUGUAAAAAUUUAAUGAUUGUAUAAAUAAUUCGGUAACAGAAUUCUUUUCACCCGUUAUUAAUUGCUUGCAGAUGACUUACUGAAAUUACAAAUACGUUAAACAUUGUUUGACUGUGAAGUGAUGAAAAAUCAAAUAAUCUUUACUAUUAGUUUUGCAAUAAUAAUAAACAACAAAUCAUAGUUACUUAUUUCUUAUUUAUUAUGCAUAAAUUGAUCUAUCCAGAGAUGGAUAUUUACAUAUUCUUCUAUUUCUAAUCAUUUUGAAAUUUAAUAGAAUUUUUUUUAAAAAAAAUCAAUUUGUAAUAACGUGUCAUAGAUAUUAAAAAAUGAAAAGAGAAAGUCAAAAUUGUAAUGCUCAAAAAAGACAACUUUUUUUUUUCUUUUUCACGGCAUAUAAAUAUGUUGUUACAGGUAAUGGAAAUUUAGGCAGCGCUUAUGUUACAUUUGCUGCAAGUAACGGCCCGACAAAAUGGAUAGUUGGAUUUGUCAAUUUUUAGAUCCAACGGCUGUAAAGAAAUUUAACACAAAAUCAGUUACAGGUAUAGGUGGUAAAAUGAUUAUUAUAAUAAAGGAUGGGCAACCUGCCAAUACGGUUUUGGAAUUAUGUACUUAAGGGGUUAUUCGAUAAUGAAAUUAUAGAGGGAAAAGAAGAAUUAUGAGCGGAUGCUCUGGGUACGCAAAAAAUUCAAGAGGCAAAAAGUACAGUAAUUAAGUUUUCAAAGAGGGGAAAAUAAGAGUAGCACCAAACGAUGUUAUCAAUUUCCUUGUUCAAUUUUGCAGAUUCACAAAUUGAUUGCGAGAUUACUACUUAAAUAUUUAACUUGUCUUGUUUCACUGGAUGGUGAGGCUUCUGCCACUGAUGAGGCAAAGAAGAGAAACCAUGUCUUGAGAAAGCUUGAGAAGCGUAAAAAAGAUCGCACGCUUGACCCACAUAUUGAAGAGCAGUUUGCUAGUGGUCGUUUGUUAGCUUGCCUCUCAUCUCCGCCUAGCCACUGUGGACGUGCUGAUGGGUAUGUGACCCCUUUUAUUGCUUUUUAGUUUUCAAGAUUUGCUGUAAGGCCCUAAAAAUGGAAGUAUUCAACAUACACCAUCAUACCUGGACUUUCAUGUUGUUGAGGCUGGAUAUAUAUAUCCGUUCCUUUCCCUUGCCUCGUAAUGGGUAUUGGACAAUUGGUAGAAGUCCUUUUUUUUUUUAUGGCAUUAAACACCUUAAGAUUUGCUUUGGAGACCAUCAAAGUUGUUCCUUGUUUUUGUUUAUUUCCAUGGUAGUUAUUGGAUAGAUACAGGAGAACAAGACAGUAUAAUGGUAAUAUUUGCUUUCUUUUUUCUUGCAUUGAUGGGCUUUUUCAUUUCCGACAGAUACAUCUUGGAGAAAGAGCUGGAAUUCUACAUAAAGAAGAUACAGGGGUGCUGGUGCUGCUUAAAUUUUUGUUUAUUGAAACUCCAUACUGGAAUUUCUAGUCUUGCCUUGUGUUCUUAUUUUUAGUCUUAAUUAAGUUAAGAGAGUUGAGAUGAUAUCAGCAGUUGAACCUGGAUUUCUCACUUGUGUUAUUGUUACAUUUUGUUUUUGAAUGUUACCAGUGCCUGUCUUAGAAUUUCUUCCGUUCCUCUACGUUUUUCAUGAUUCUGUCUGCGUGAUCAAUGAAUUUGGUAGUUAAUGCCUUAAUGGUUAUUGCUUAAGGUUGAUAUAUUAAUUCCAUACCGAAAAUGAACCUGGUAUAUCUACGCAUGUGCAAUACAAUAACACAACCAUUUUAGGCACUAGUUAUGGGCAAGGCCAUCCCUAAAUAUACAAAUAACUGGGUUAAUGUAUUUUGUUUGGAAUUAGUUUCAUGUAAAAAUUAUUUUCUAACAUCUUUUCUAUAACAUUAUUUUUGUUGGCCUGAAGUUUGUGUGAGAGGAUUCUCUCUACAUGGAAUCUAGUUUCUCGACCUUUUCCCAUUUGUGCACCAUAUGUUGUGGUAAUAGAUGAGCAAAAAUCACGAUCCGUGAAUUUGCUAUCACAAGAACAAUCAAAGUAUGUAUCGAGGAACCAAUAAAGUGUUGGCUCCACUGGCAAUGGAGUCCUCCUUAAGUGGCUUGACUGAGUUUGCUCCUCAGUUUGAGUCGCAAGAAAAUCGCCUUUGUUAGGAGAACCUGUGCCUCCCGGUUCGAGCGGAGACUUCUAAUUUGAGCUGUGGUACGGACUUAAAGGUGCCUUCCACAGUUGGGGCCCUCCCCAGAAUACCUCGUGGUUAAGACAAAAAAAAAAGUAUGUAUUGAGGAAGCUCAUGGGGAUGAACGAAAAGCAAGCCGUUGCAGCUUAUUGAAAUAACAAGCAACAGUAAUUGGUUACUGAAACAAGAACAUGUAUUUCAUAAUUAAUACACCAUUUCUCUCUUAGGGAAAGCACGAUACCAUUUCUCUCUUAAGGAAGCGCAAUUGCAAUUGCGAUCAUAUUUCGGUAACAAAAACCAAACCAUGCAUGAUAAGCAUAUGAUAAAAAGUAGAGAAACAGGGGCAGCUGCUAUGUCUAAGAGUCAUUUCAUCAUACAUAUGGAAGGCGAUUUAACUGCAACCUGAGGUAUCCGGUACAGUCAAGAAAUCAAACAUGGGUAAUCAAGUUUUAUAUCACAUAUAUACACUACCCUCACAUAAAUUACAUUUCUUUACUCUAAUAAUAAUAAUAAAAAAAAAAUCGAAUAACGAAACAAAUUAUAAAAUUUUCGAAACACUCCCUCACAUCUGAAACCGUAGCUCCCCGUCAUUUCUCUAUGUAGUAAUAGUAGGCAGAACUCUGAAAUAAUUUGUUUUUUCCCCCAUUUUUUCAGCUUUUAUUCAAUAAUUUCCGUUAUAAAAUUGUUUGAAUAUUUCACAGAUUAAGUUUCAGAGGGGAGCUAUUGCUUCCUUCAAUAAACGGAUAAUGAGAUUAUGGAUUCUAAAGUGUUGAAAGCCAUAUAAUUUUUUUUUUAAUUUCAAAUUUUCUUUUUCUUUUCGAAAUUUUCAGUGAUAUGCUUAUCUAAUCUUCAACCGGCUAUUAUCAGGAAUGGAUAGGAUUGACUCUACCGUUGACACAUUUUGCAACUGGUUUCAACAUGUUUUUCAUACUGCCCCUUACUGACACGUGCUUCUCUUAUGUGAGUCAAUUGAUCACCUCACUUAUGUUACUUACACCAAAUGUAACAUAAGCUUACCCUGGAAUUUAUACCCCACAAAGGGAAUUUUCUUCCACAAAUGAUAUGAGAAUGUCGGGUGAAACAUGUGAAUGGGAAACUGCCUUACGAUUGCAGCAUGUGAACACUUGAAUUUCUUUUUGACAGAGCACAAUGAUAACUUACAGGUACUGCAAUAUUGCAUGAAGAUUCCUGGAAGUAGCCUGCAGCUCAAAUUAAUAAUUUUCUUUUGAACAAAACCAACCAACAAUAAUUUUCAAACCUGGAAGAUACUCAUUAAAAGAUGGAUCUUCAUCAUUUUUUUCCUCCCCACAACCCACCCACUAAAAACUUUAUUCAUUUAGUGUAACUUUUUAGUUUUGUUAGAAGAUACUUAGAACUGCCGAUAUCUUCCAAUUAUUGUUUUAAAAAUCUCAGUUGGCAUGCCCAAUUAACAAAUCAAUAGUCUUUGUUCGACAUAUUUAAAACAAAAAACAAAAAAAUCACACAUUGGUUUGAUGAGAGAUGAAAAGAAAAAGGAACACACUUACGAUCAUCAUUGCAGACGAUAUACACCAAGUAAAUCUUGAGACGUGCUUUUUCUAAUUAGCCAACUUUUUUUUUUAGGGAUAAAAAGAGACCGUCUCUUUUUCUUUUUCUUUUUUUCAUUAUUCAUAGUGGGAGACAAUGGUGGGGGCCUAGGGAUGAAAGUAAAAUUAAAAAUUAAACGUGAAUUAUGUGGUAAAAGUAUUUAAAUUAGAUAGUUGUAAGUUAAAAGUUAUAAUAUUAAAGUGUUUGGUUAACAUUAGUUGUUGUAACUUAAAAUAUAUAUUUAUAUAAUUUUUCAGCUGUAUAAUAAAAAAUUUAUUAUAUUUUUAAUAAUUUUAUUAAAAUUAUUAUUUAAAAUUUAUAUUCAUUAUAUUAUGAAGUUUUAUUUUAUAAUUACAUAUUAUGGGAUGUAAAGGAGUUUGGGAGCUGUAGCCUUUAGUUGGCUUAGGGAGAUGUUAAAGUUUUGAGAAAUGCUUAGAAAUUUAUUUUAUAAUUUGUUUUAAAGUUUAUUUUAUAAUUUAUUUAUAACGUAUAUAAUACGCUCUCAAUUUUAUUACUAUAAAGUUGAAUCUAUUUUAUUUACUUUAUAAUUUUUUUAUUCGGGUUCACUGACCGUGUACUCCAGCUAGAUUCUAAAAACAAAAAAUGAAAAUAUAGUCUAGAGAAAUAACAUCGAACAGACUCUUAACUUAUCAUCUUCACAUCAUCAUUUUGAAUUUCUUUAAUUAAUUCUUUUCAUUUUACUCUUCAAUAAUAAAUGUCACUUCAACUCGUGUGUGUACAUAAUAUAGGAUAGAAAAAUAAUGUCGAACAAACUCUAACAUAUCAUCUUCGAAUCAUCUUUUUGAAUUUCUUUAAUUAAUUCUUUUCAUUUUACUCUUCAUUAAUAAAUGUCACUUCAACUCGUGUGUGUAUAUAUUCAUACUAUAGAAAUUAAAAGUUUGAGUUUACUAUUGUAGAUGAAGUUAUGUUUUAAUUAUUAUUACUAUUACUAUUAAUUAAUUUAUAUUAUUAUUAUUUUUUGUUAAGUUAUUAUCAUUAACUAUUACCUCUGAUUUAUUAUUGUAUUAUUAACCACAACAAAUAAAUAAUAAUAAUAAUUUAUUUGAGGACAAAAGUAAAAUUAUGAAAUUUAUAAGGUGGUAAAAUAGAGAGUUCAAGGAAUAGAAACUUAAUUUCCUAUCCCCUCAUAGAAAUCAAGUUUAUGUUCUUUAAUUCCCAAAAACACGAGCCCUAUAUGUUUCAUUCCCAUUUCUAUCUAUAUUUAAGUAAGUAAACAUCAUCAAUCAUUUUCGUUUUGAAUUAUGAUUUUUCAAUCCAAAAAGUAGAUGCCAGUAAAAGAGAGAGUUAAACUUGACUCACCCGCUUUUCUAAUUGUUCUGAUUUGUUGUAUAAUUUAUUCUAAAGUUAUUUUAUAAUUUAUCUAAAACGUAUAUAACACGUUCUCAAUUUUAUUACUAUAAACUUACGCUGUAUUGUCUAGUCUUAGUAAGUAACGACUCAAUUGGAUGUGGGAGGAUCCCUUCCGCUUUGACCAAAAAAACUGUUUCGAGGACAGUAUUCUAACUCAACUCAAGUGCGGAACAAAGAAAGAAACGCUAAGAACGUUAAUGAAAGUUAACAUACAGAGCAAACUAGUCAAGAGCACACACAAGAGGAGAAAUAAUUAACACUAUUAUUUUACAUGGUUGAGUUUCUCUAAGCCCACGUCCACGAAGACAGACACUUGGCUACAUGCAUGCAUGCUUUAUUAAUUGACCAAGGAAUUUACAAGGAAACUCUCUUUUCCAGAAGUUACAAGAGCCCUGACACUAUUCCUCUCGAGGUCUAGUUCAAGUCGCCCAAGCCUCUCAAGCUCCCUUAAGAACUCUGCUUUCUUGCUGUUCAAGAAAGCGCCUGAUUGGAAUCACAUGCUCCACGUGACAUCUGGCAUAACAAAAUCUGCUGCCGUACCCGGCCAAUUUAUGAUGCCACUUAUGAUACCCUUUCACGUCAGCUUCCCUUGCCCUGCGUCAUCAUAGGACCUUACAUCUUGGAACCUACAUGAAACCUGAAUCUCUAACAGCCCAUCAUAAAAGAUAUUAGUUUUAAAAUAUGGAAAUUACCAAAAAUACCUGCGCAUUUUGAAAUUUGUCAAAAAAUGAAGAGUAGAAAGCAAUAGGAAAACGUAAUUAACCAACCAAUUUGAUUCCUCUGAUCGCUUUCAUCUCAGGACUCUUUGUCUUCCCGUGCGUCUUCGAUUCCACAGGACAAUCUUGGAUUGAAUUUAUACAUCAGAAGAAAAUAUCAGUAUGCCCAAAAUAAAAAAAGGUGUCAUAUAGAAGUAUUCUGUCGCAGACUUAACAUAUCUAUCAAGUAAGUAAUUAAUAAUUCCUAGUUUUAAAAGUAGAGCAAUUGGAUAUCAAGUCCGUAAAUUCAAGAUAUAAUAACUCUUGACAAUUAUAUAUUCAUAUGCAUGUUAGUAGCAUGAUGCUACCAAUAUUCGCACCUUUAGCAUUCAAACACUUGAUCAUUGAAAGAAUUUAAGAAAAAUGUUGUUUGGUUACUGAGAAAAUAUCUCAACAAAAUUUUCAGAGAACUUUCCGGAAUUCUUGCCUUUAUUUCACUUAAUGAAAAAUGUUACAAUUACAUUCAAUUUAUAUUCGAUGCUUUAGCAUUACUAUAACUAACUCAGAACAUACUACACAUGCUUAACUACAGCUCAAUAGAUACAGAGUAAGUCAUAACAAACUUUUAACUACUUAUGCUGAGGUGGCAACUGAGCUGUUAUUCCGCUUAAUCAUCUGACGUCACCAACUUGUUGGUUUUCCUCAGCUCGAGCGUCUUCUUCCUUUCUGUACAAUGAGCUUCUUUAACAACCACUGAAGCAGCCUUUCUCACCAACCUAGCUCCGACAUUAAUCUAUAGAGUUAUCAAGACCGACAUUCGAUGACGUAAUCACAUAAAGUUGCGCUUAUGCCUACAAAAUGGCUGAAUAACUAACCAAUUCGAUUCCUUAUUGCACCAUUCCUGAAUCCUGUCCUCUGAUACUGUAGGCCUCUUCCCGUCUUCCAUAUCGCAAGACACUUCACCUAGCCCAAAACAUACCGUUCUUGGCUUGAAAAUGGAAAGUCUCGUGCAGUGCAGAAAUCAGAGGAAUUAACCCACUUAUGACCAUCGUGUGUGUAUAUAGUAGACGAUGUAAUUAGAUAUCUAAUGAGUGUUUAAGAUAUUACAGAUUAAAAUGUUGCAUACUCUGGACAUUAACAUAACAUAAAAUUUGAUCCACAAUUUACUCAAUUUCUGAGUUAGCUUACCAAAAGUAUUGUAGCAGAAAUAACCAAAUCAACCCAGGUCCUUAUAUGGAGCCCCUGCGCGUCAAUUAAAGUAAAAGCUCGAUCCUCUGUUAUCCGAAAUGGUCAAACAAACAUUAAACCAAAAUGUUGAAGUCUCUUUCUUUUGCAAUUCUAGCUCUAACUGAUGAGAUUGAUCGAAAAGAAUAACCAACAUUAAGAUUAAUUUUUAUUUCCAUUUCUAGGAAAUGGAGAAUUAAAUGGAAUUCUCUCAGUAAAGCUCACCAAUAUCUGUCUCCGUCAUCACAUAGAUAUAUCAGACUAGCUAUCUAAUCCUUUUAUUUUAUUUUUUUCCUUUUUCAUUCAACAGCUUCAGCAUAUAACAAGAAAGCUUGGGCUCCUACAAUGUUUAGGCCUCAUCACGAUUAAGUACUCGUACGGUGGCGCAAGUAGCAGGCCUGGCGCCACUCUGGAUCUGCUAGAGAAAAAAAUUUUACACAUGCGCCCUGAAAAUCUGUUACAUAAAUUAUGUCCUAAUAAUCAGCAAUAAUUCAAAGAUGCGGAUAAAAAAAACACUAUAAUGUACAAACAUACACCUUGUUUAUAUUUUUUGUAUCACAUGAGACAUAAACUCCUCAAGAGUCAAGUCCGACAUUUAAUUCAACCCAUAAACUUGUGCUUGUAGCCCGCAUAAAUGGUUAAACAAAUAUUAUAUUUUCGACUUGAAGAUUGGAUUACAAAUAUAUAAUAGGAAAGUAAAAUGGAGGAGGAGAAAGAAAUUACCUGUAGUAGUUGAGAAAUUACUGCCAAAAAUAAACUUACCCGUAGGAAUUUUAUUUGGUUAGUAAUUGAGAAAGAAAUUACCUUAGGUGAUGACUGAAAGGAAUUUAGAUCUAUCAAAAAUAGAUGUAAGCAAUUAAAAACUAAAAAUUAAUUACUUAAUUAAUUUUUUCAGAAGUGCUGUUCAUUGUUACUGUUUACGGUUCUGUUCACCACAACUGUUUACAGUUACUUUACAAUUAUUGUUUAUCCACAUAAAAAAUAUUAAUUUUCCAAAAACACAAUAAAAUGCCGAAAAUAAAUUAUACAGAAAUUUUUACGUGGUUCGUAUUAAUCAAUCCUACAUCCACGUGGGCACGCCAAGAUGAAAAACAAUCACUAAGUUGAGAUGUUACAACUUAUGGAUUUACCAAACUUAAGACUCUCACUUACAGUUUAUCACCAUACAGUUUACUCAACCUUAGACUGAAUCUGCUUCUCUUAAAUAAUUGCUACCCCUCUUGAUCCACGAUCCUCAAGGCACUUUGCAAAGUGAUCAAUAGCAAUUCUUCAAUUCUUCAACGUCUAGUGAUCCAAGAUUGACAUAGAGUCUCAACAGAGAUAAAAAGAAGAUAAUAAAACAAAUCAACACAACAUGGUGCGCCAAAUUCGGAUUCUCUGGGGAGGAGGCCGAAUUUUGUUUCUCUACUUUAUACUUUGUGUUGUGCCUGUCUUCAAUUGUGAAAUACCUCUAUUUAUAUAGGCAAUAGGGUUUCACCAAAAUAGCAAGUUUGAAAAAACUUAGAUACUUUCCAAAUAAGAGUUUGUUUCCUCUUAUAAUUCCUAUGAAUCUGAAUAGGAAUAAAUAUGAUCUUCUUGCAUUACUUGUCUCCGAAGAAAUAUCUAGAGCAUUUAAUGACUUCUUGUUUGAACCAACUUCUUGCUCUAAAUAGAUCUCAUGCACUAAUAAUAGAAUCCCACCAUUAAUUGACUUGCUAAAAUAGACAUUUAAUUAAAUUAGGAAACAAAUAUUCCUAAUAAAUUGGAAUCUCACUAAAUUAGGAAAUUAAUAAAUUAAUCCCUAUUACAAGAUAUGCAAUAAAUAAACUUCCAAUUUAACUAGAACUUAACAAUGGUGACGGUACUCGUUUUAAAAAUCCUCAAGGUUCGAAUUUGACAUAUUGGUGAUUGAUUAGGAUGCUGGGAAUGUGGCAUAUCUUGGGGCAGUCCUCUCCUGUUUCCUUUAUGUGAUGCUCUUCUAAAACAGAACACGAACUAAUACCUGAAUCCUGCAGUGUUGUUUGUUGUGCGCAGAAUGCGAAAUCAAACGCACCAAAUAAUCAUAGAAAAAUAAAGGACACAAAAUUUAACUCAGAUACUAUCUAUGAAUAAUAUAACUCAGUACCUCACUUCAUGCAAGCUUUGAUAUAUUAUUCCUUCUAUCUAUUUAUCCACUGCUAAUUGUUUUAUAAAAAAUUUGGUGCACUGAAGUGAACCCAAUAACUCCUAGCUAGAAGCAACAAUGUCCAAUUAAGCCGCUGAUACAAUCAAUCAAACAAUAAGGAAAGGAUCAACAACACAAAAAGCACACGCAAGGCACAAAGAUUUACAUGAUAUAUCCACAGGUGGCGAUGCUGGUAUCCACUAUACGUGUGAUGAAAACAAGUGUAUAUAUAUAAAGAACACCACCUGUCUCCUCACAAUAAGCCCCUAGAAUACAAGCGCAAAUAAAAAUAAGCCCAUUCCUGCUCUGCUCUGCCCUCAUGUACGUAACUCCUCUGCUAAGAAAUAUUGCCUUAAAAUAUCCGUAGCAUAUGCAUGGAUGACCAGCAAAUCAGUUAAGACAUAUAAAAUUACCAUCCACACAGGAAAUCAGCAAAUCAGUGGUUUCAGGAAUUUGUAAUUGAACAUCAGAAUAUGAAGGGUACAGAGCAAUGGGAAAAAGUAAUUAACUAACCAAAGAAUUUAAAAUCCAAAUAAGAUAAUUAACGUAUGAAAGCUGGGUUGAAGCCCACCUUAGAGCCCCUGUCUAUGAAGGCCAAUAAAUCUCCUGUUAUCUGUUUGCUUAGAUCUUUAUGUAUUCCUAUACACUUUUUACUCUACUCUGUUGUUCAACCUUCCUUGGCUUUAUGUAUCUAUUUUAUGUGUAUUGAGAAGGCUAGUUACUAGGUGUCAACUCUUCUCUUUAAAAGAUAAAGUUUUGAGAAAAGGAAAGAAAGACACCCACUGCCAGCUACCUUGUCAUAUGUUGCAUACCAAAAUUGGAUAUUAAUUAUGGUCACUGUAUUCAACCUGCUAACCAAAUUCAAAAAAAUUAGUCUUCCCGAUUGAGUAAGUGAGCCCUGAAAAGACAUUACCCAGCUUAAAAGCCAAAUGAAUGUAGACUUGUGAUUGGUGUAAUUGGUUUUAAAGAAAUUAGUAUGCAUCCCCACUGAAAGCCAGUAAAUAGAGUUGAAGAAGAUGCUAAUGUGCCACAGCUAACAUAAGCAUAAUUUGAUCAGCCGAAUGACUACCAAAUGAAAAAGCAACAUAAACUUAACAGAACUGUUAGGAUUAAUCGAAGACACAUAUAUUUGUGCCAAUUUUCACACCUUUAGCAUUCAAACCUUGCUCUAGAACAACUGCUGUGGUCCGAUGCUGCAGGCAAAAAAUUUGACCUACGAAGCAGCCUCACUCACCAACCUAGCCCCAAAUAAAUUUUUUGAAAUGCCUUGAAAACCUUAACAUUAUAUCCAAAUAAACAUAACUUGUGUUUGUGACGUAAUGAGAUUGCAGUGCAUUCGUAGAGUGUACACUUAUCUGCCAUUUCGGAACAAUUUUUUUUUACUUCUCUUAAAAUUUGCAUAAGAAAUAGCAAUAUGGACAAGUACCUACUUAUGAAAGUGUUAAGAUAUUUUUACAUUUCUUCUUUUUCUUUCAAGGAGUAAAAGUAAUUAUUCAUUUUGUUGAUGCCCAUUUACUCUAUAAAUGCCAUCAUGACCACUGAGAUAUGUUCAUGAAUAAGCAUCUACCAUCAGAUCGAUUCGAAAACGGAAAGGAAUAGAGAAAUAAAAGGUGAAACAAAUGAAAUAAUUAAGGAGAGGAACGAGAUUCUGUUGUCUGGUUAUAACUGGAAAUCAAGCAUGAAAAAGGAAUUGAUUUUUCUUUUUUGGUUGACAGAAUACACUUUCAACUAUAAGAAAAAAAAGAAAAUUUGAAUUUGAUAUUUAACAGAAAAUUCAAAUAAAAUCAAAUUCAUUUGUAAUUUAAGUUCAUUUCAUUCUUAAAAUUUGACAUAUAGAAUAAAAUUUAUAACUGUUUCAAAUACAAAAACAUAUUAAUAUUCAAAAUAAUAAAAUUUUCAUGGCAAAAAGUUAAAAAUAAAAAAUAAAACGGUUUGAUGGAGAAUGGAAUUGAGCAGGGAAAGUUUGAUGGAAGAUGCACACACCAGUUGUGGAAUUAUACUGUUAGUCAUUUUAUUAAAAAAAUAAAAUAAAAAUAAAAAUCACCUCGUUGAAAGAUUAUUUGCUACGAUUAAAAAUUUUAUUUGGUGAGCAAAACGACGUACGGUCCUCAAAAACCUCAUGAUGAUGCAUGUAUAUUCUAAGCUUCAUGACAUCAUAAUAAAAAUGUUUUGCGAAGGUAACUGGAAAUUUGUUUUAUUCAAUGAAUGGUACAUUUACUGGUAUGUUUAAUAGUUUGUGGGUAAUUGUUUAUUUUCUUUUGGUUGAAAAUUUUGCCAUCUCACAAACUAACAACUAAAUUUGACUCCUUUUUAUAUAAAUUUUAUAGGCCCGCCGAUUCACCAAUUUUAUUUUAUAAUCCUUGUAUGUUUGUUAUCUUUAAAUUAUGACCCCAAGUACCAAAAUUCCAAUAUCACGGUCUUUUAUAAGGUUUGGUUAUGAUAAUUAAUUAAUACGAUAAAUACAAACAAGGCACAAAUUAAAAUUUAUAUGGUUCGGCAUAUUAAUUAAUAUGCCUACAUCCACGGAUGGUGAUACCGAAAAUCCACCACAUGAUGAAAAAGUGUACAAACAAUAAUGAAAAUAUUGCUUUCCCAACAAAUUAAUCAGUUAGACGAAUAUAUCCUAAUUAUAAUGGUUUUAUGACAUACAUACAUAUCAAAUUCAUGACUUGUAUUUUGCACUGUUGCAGAGCAAUGAGCAGGCUACAAUACGUUCACUUGUUGAACUCGACCCUCAGAGCGACGGAGAGGACCAUUUGCUGUAUCCUCGAAGACUACCAGAAGGAGGAUGGUGUGUGUGGAAGUACCAGAAGUUCUACAAUAUUGGAAAUGGUUCAGCCGUGAUCAUUGGGAAAAUUAAAAAACCGAAUAAGUAAUAUAAUAAUUAUAAAACCAGUCGGUUCGAUUUUUUAUUUUAAAAAAAUUAAAAAACUGAACCGAUUAUCAAAUAAACCGAAUAACAACCGGAAUCCCUAAAGUGAAUAAAGUCUAAACACUCUAAACUAAAUUGUGACCACUUCUUCUGAGUUCUGAUCAUCAACCUAAAUCGUGACCACUUCUGAGUUCUGAUCUUCAGCUGAAACUGAAAUCGUGACCUUCAGCCGCUGAAGUCUCGUCCCCGUUGCUCGUCGCCGCCACUGCUCGUCGCUGCUGCUUAUCGCUGCUGCUCGUCGCUGCUGCCCAUCGUUGUUGCUCGUCGCCGAGUCUCCGCCACUGUUACCACGUGCUGCAGCCGCUGUCAGCUGCUGCUGCUGCCACUGUCACCAACAACUCUCAGCAGAACAAGGUUUUAUGAAUUUAAAAAGCUAUAGCUAUAAUAUUUUGUUAUCAUUGGGGCCAUAUAAAUUCGUGAGAAUCCCAGAAAUUGCAUUGAAUUUUUACUGAAUCUGAUAAGCCCGGCAUAUCUUAAUCCCAGCUAUUUUGGCUAUAGCGUACCAUUCAUUCGUUAGCUCCAAGGGCCCAUCAACAGGCGUUUUCGGGAAUCGGCUGCGGGGCGAAUUUGGGGUAAAUGCAAGAGGAUAAAAAAAAGCUAUAGCCAAAAUAGCCAAGAGGAUCCCAAGGGCCCCGUCAAUAAGAAUUUGCAGACUUGCAUAAAUAAAUUAUGUAUGAUGCUAUAAAUGAUGCCCAUUAGCCAGACUUGCAUUCUCAGCAAUUCUUCUCCAUUUCUUAAUCCUUUUAUCCAUAUGCUUUGUUAAUGCACAAUACUGUUGAAUAAACUUUGUAUUCCUUUUAUCAGUUUGUUUGAGAUUAAAAUUGGAGGUAAUAAAAUGUUGUUUUGAUUUCAAUUGAGAUGUAUUUAGCUUGAAACAUUGACUUCAUGAAACUAAUUUUGACACUUGAUUUUCUGAUCGAAUUUAUGAUUAUAAUUGGUGAGGAUGAUUUGAAUUUAAUUGCAUGCCAUCAGCCAGGCCAGUGUUGGAAUGUCAUAAUAUUUUUUAUUUGUAAUCCCCAAGAUUUUUUAUUUGUUGCUUCUGUUGUAUUGAUUUGUUGUUGUAGAAUGGAAAACUAUGAUGAGGAGGAAGUGCAAGAGGUGGAGGUUGAUGAUGUGAAAAAAAGAAAAAUACUUUGAGACAUAUUGUGAUUUUUUGUUUGUUAACUUUUUAUGUUUGUGGUAGAUUUAUUAAUUUAAGGUUUUAAAUUUAAAAAAAUCCAAAAUAGGCCCAAUAGGCCUAUAAUCGAAAUAAUCGAACCGAACCGAAUCGAAUUAUUUCAAUUAAUCGAGUAUUUGAUUAUUUCGAUAAUUCGAUUAAUCGCGAUUAUAAUUUUAAAAUAAUUGUAAUCAAACGAUAAUGAAAAGUUUAGUAAAAACCCGAACCGAACCGCGCCCAUCCCUAGCCACCAGAGCUUUAGUUCAGUGAUUUUCUCAAUACGACGUACGGUCCUCAGAACCUUAUCAUGAUGCUUGUAUAGUCUAAGCUUCAUGACAUCAUAUUAAACAGUGUUGGCUUUAACCAAUUGGGGGCCUUAGCCGAAAUUUCAUUUUAGGCAUUCUAAUGUUAAAAUAUCAACUAUCACAAGAAUAUUAAAUAGCUAAAAAAACUCUCACAACAACAUCAAGUAGCUCAAAAUUCAACAAUAUCUUGAAUUACAACAAUUAUUAACAAGAUCUAAAAAAAACAAAAAAUAAUAGUUGGAAAGAUAUCUAUUUCUUUCCACAUGAAUAUUAACUAACUUUGUCUUCCACAAAAUCCAGCUCCUUAAGAUGCUCUAAAACUUCUUCAGCCAUAACCAUAAUCAUCUCGUGAACUUUAUAUCAUUGCUCCUACCUAAUAUGAUCCUAAUCCAUAUUUUCUAGUUGACAUGCUUUUCAAAUUAAAAAAAAAAUAAACAAACAAUUUUUUUUUCUAGAUUAUUCAAGCCAAAAUCAAUACAAAAAAUAAAAAAAUAAAUUAAAUUUAAAAAGGAUAAGAACAGUAAUAAAAAAAUGGAAAAAAAUAGAAUGAUAGCACCUAUAAUUGAGUCAAUUGACUAGUUGAGAUGAGGAUGAUGAUGGCAAUGAAUUUUGUAGAGAAAGAGAAGAGAGCACAAAAACUUUUUGUUGAAAGUAGCUUUGAUUCAAUGUGUAUCGGUUUAUAGAUAAUGAGUUUUUAAAUAUAUUUUAAUAGAAUACUAAAAGUUAGCUCUAAAAAUCCAACGUUACUAAUUUUAAUAAGAGCUCUUUUUGGAAAGGGAAAGCAUUCAUUUGUUUUUUGGGAAAAUAGUAAAAGAAAAUAAAGAAGUAAUGUUAAAAAUAAUUAUUAUACCAUACAAAUAUAUUUUAUAUUUAAGGUAAAGAUUAUUAAAUAGGAGAGACAAUUAUGAAUGAGAGUAAUGAUAGGGUAAAGACUAAAAAUUAGUUUUUUUUAAUUGUAUAAAAAAAAUAUACGUAACUUAAUUUUUUAAUCUUAAAAAAAUUAAUUAUAUUGAUUAAUAAAUAGAUACCAAAAAAUUAAGGUCUUCCUAAAUACGAGGCCCUAGGCAACUGCCUAGUUUGCCUAGUCCUAAAGCCGUCACUGAUAUUAAAAUCAUAUUGCUAAGGUAAUUAGAAAUUUGUUUUAUCCAAUGAAUGUUACAUUUACUGGCAUGUUUAAUAUUUUGCUUUGGUUAAAAAUUUUGCUAUCUAACAGCUAAUAACUGAAUUUGACUCAUUUUUAUGUAAAUUUUAUAGACCCACCAAUUCACCAUUUUUUAUGUUAUGAUCAUUGUAGGCAUGUUAUUUUUUAAAUUAUGAUUCCAUGUGAAAUCAAAAUUUAAAUUUCACCAUCUUUUAUAAGAUUUGAUUAUAAUAAUCAAAUAACACAAUAAACAAACACAAGGCAAAAAAAUUUACGCGAGUUGACAUAUUAAUUAAUAUGCCUACAUCCACGGGUGGUGAUACUAAUAAGCCACUAUAUAAUGAAAAAGUGUACAAAUAACAAUAAGCUCUCAGAUGAGCACAAAAAAAGAAAAAGAAAAAGAAAAAAGAAACACCAAUCUCAACACUCAAAAACAAUCAAUCCCCAGCAGUUUGGCCUCACAAGAGCUCUCUCUGCGUUGUGCUUUCCCUCGUUCAUUCUCUUUACAAAUACAAGGCUCGCAAAAAUACAAAACGAAUUACUGAAAACAUACAUAACAGAUUAAAAAAGCACGCGCCGCGCCCGUCCCCCAAUUCCUGCUCUGCGACGCCAUUUCGUAAUUCCUUUUUGGCUGAAAAAUUAAUAUCGCUUUCCCCAACAAAAAAACAAAUGAAUCAGUUAGACAAAUAUAUCUAAUUUUAAUGGACAUUGUUAAAUUAAUGAAGAAGAGUAGAGAGAGAGCAAACGAGAAGGAAAGCGUAUACAAAUUAUAAUUACUAACCAGAGUUAUUAGCACCAUUACAUAUAUAUAUCCCUGCUGAAUCCCCUCCUCUGUUCACCAUUAGUUUCUAAAAUGGAUUAAAAAAUAACUACUAAUUAAUUUUAAUUAAAAUAGAGUGAGACACGCAAUGCAUGCAGGAGAUCUAGAAAUAAAUUACCCGUGGCGGUGGCCGUGGGUGAUUGUAAUUGACUAAUUGCAGCCGCGCACUUCACUCAAUCUCGAUGUUGGGAAUGUGGCGUAUCUUAGGCCAGUCCUCUCCUGUCUCCUCUCUGUAACGUUCUUCUAAAAUAUAACACCGCCUAAUAUACAAUUCCUGGAGCGUUGUCUUCUGAAGAAGGUGAUCGGGCAGUGCUUUUAAUUUAGGGCAACUCGAAAUAGUCAAGGAAGAAAGACGUGGCAUGAUUAUGAUUUCUUCCUUUAUUGCAGUCCCGAGAUCCCACUCUUCCAGUUCUUCCAUAUAACGAAAUCUGAGCAGUUUCAAUUUGGGAAAGGCAAUAACUGAGCAGCCAUCCGUAUCACCUUCUACUCCCAGAAAUUCAUUACCCACUCUUUUCACAUUUUCCAUUCCUAAAAUAUGAAGAGAUUCAAGGGAUGGCAAUUUUCCCAAAGGAGGCAAAUGCUCACAAUUUCUCCACCCGAAGAGAAAUAAAACCGUUAAAUUGGUUAACGACAUGAACCAAUUUAUGGGGACAACAUUCCUCCUCCCUCUGUAUUCGUCUAUCCGUAAUUUCUUUAAAUUAGGAGAUGGUCCCAAGGCUUCAAGAAGCCGUUCAUCUUCAUCCUCCUCAUUCUCCCUCCUCCCAGCUCGUUCUUCAUCUCCAUCUCUUGAAUGACCAAAAUGAAGUCCCAAUUUUAAGAGAUUUUUCUUUUUCUCAAGUUCAGCCCUUCUAGCCUCCCCCGCAUCUGACACAUCACCCAGCCCACGUAUCCUGCAGUCUCGAAGGAGGUUAAGCUUUUUAAGAGACCCAAGGCUACAUGCUCUGUCAUACCCUCCACCCACAACAAAAUCUCUCACCCUCCGAAGCCUGAUUAAUUCCCCAAUCCCUGCCGGCAAGUAUCUUAAAGAAUCAGUCCCCUCAUUGUGUAAAUACAUCAGCUUUCUUAACUUCCCUAUCCCUCGAGGUAAUUCUCUAAGUUUUACACAACAACUAACAUCUAAACGUUCUAACUUAUAUAACUCACACAUGGUCUCAGGUAAUUUUUCUAUCUUCUUUAUACCUUUCAAAUUAAGGUAUUUCAAAUGUAACAAUUUUUCUAUAUUUGUUGGAAUUUCCUUGAUGUAAUUCACACAUGACCACCUAUCACGAUUUAAUUUUAAUGCCCUUAAACAAGUUAAUUUAUCAAAUAAUUGAGGUAGGACUUUGCUAGACCAUGAAUGUUCAUCACUUUCAACUAAGAGGCUACGCAAUCGUCGCAAUCGUUUAACAUUACCCCAAAUGGAGAUCGGAACCGAAGCCCCUCUAUAUAAAGUUAACAUUAAAUGAAGGAUUUUUUUCUCCCCAAAAGAGCUCAUAGCUGACUCUUCACCACCAUGAAUUUCUAUUGUUGAACACUCAUUACUACAUAAGUAUUGAGCAAAGUCAUGCACUAUAUCGUGCAUUUUGCAAGUAGAGAUUUCACCAUCAUCAUCUUUUUUAAAAUCCUGAAAGAAUGAAUGGCUAGCUAAGAUGUUGAAAUACUCUUCACCAAUAUCCUCCAUCUCUUUGGCCCCUUUCUCACUAAGAUAACCUUGUGCCAUCCAUAGGUUAAUUAACUCUUUUUUUUGUAUGCCGUAGUCUUUUGGAAAGACGGCACAAUAAGUGAAACAUUGUUUAACCUUAGAGGGCAAUUCAUUGUAACUCAACAAUAGAGGGGUCAAAAGGCCUCUCUCAACCUCUUCUAGUUCCCAUAUCUCACUCUCUAAGAUAUUUUGCCAUUCUUUUUCAGUGUUUCUAGACUGCAGGAGACUAGCAAUCGUCUUUGCAGCUAAAGGUAAGCCCUUGCACUUGCUUACAAUUUGUCGGCCAAUAUUUUCUAAUUUUUCACAUUCCUCCUUGGACCUGUCGAAAAAUGCUAACUGCUCAAACACUGACCAGCAUUCUAUUUCAGACAAUACAUUGACAGAGGUAACAUUGGUUGAUCUGAUACAACGGGCAACUCUAUCCUUACGCGUGGUAAUCAAAAUUUUACUUCCAUGGAGACCAUUCUUUAAACAUUUGUAGAAUGGUUCCCACUUAUAGUAAUCUUCGUUCCACACGUCGUCUAAGACAAGAAGAAAUUUCUUCCCUUCAACCCAUUCUUGAAUGUGUUGCAUGAGAGAUUGAAACUCUACAAGGUCUUUGGCGGAACCUGGUUUCAGAGCCUCAAUGAGUGCUCUAGCGAUUCUGAACUCAUCAAAAGGAUCUGACACACAGACCCAUAUUCUUUCAUCAAAAUGUUUUUUAACAUCACCGUUGUUGUAGGCAAAUUGAGCAAGAGUUGUUUUGCCUAUGCCCCCCAUCCCAACAAGUGAGAUGAUACAAGGGCCUUUCUGUUCCUUACUGUUAAGGAAGCACACAUCAGUAGCAUAGACUGUAAAGCAGAGGAUAGCAGCAGCUCCAGCUUACAGUUAAGAGUUGAUGACAUGGCAUGCCAGCUGGCACCUGGUGGUUAUGUAAUCACUUGUUCACGUGAUAAUUAGUUGAAGUUGUUAUAGCUAGCUAGAAUUAGUUUUGUAAUGAGUUAACUAAUUGAGCUUAGCAUCAGUUGUGUAUAUAAGCAUCUCUGUGUACAGUUUCAUAAGUAAGUUUUAGAUGAAUAAAAUCGUGUGAGCAAAAAGCUUUCAGUUCUUAAAUUUUCUCAGCUUCCAAACAUCCUUUUUCUGAUUUCUUACUUGGUAUCAGAGCUUUAAUGGCAUCUGUGAAUCUUGCCUCUUCCUUAAAUCAAGUUCAUAAUACCGCUGCACAUUCAACAACAGUCAAUUUCACUUUCAAUACUCCCGUUAAACUUGAUCAAUCAAACUAUUUGAUCUGGAGAUCUCAAGUGCUUGCUUCAAUUUGAGGAAAUAGACUUGAGAAAUUUAUCGAUGAGUCAAUCACUCCACCUCCUUCUCAUAUUGCUCAUAGAUAUGAUGAUGAGCUUAGAUCUGUGGAGAAUCCAGAAUUUGCAACCUGGAGAGCACAAGAUCAAAUACUUCUCGGUUGGCUUCUUUCAUCCAUGAGUGAAGGUAUCAUCAGUUUGGUGUUCAAUCUUGAGACUUCAUUGGAGGUAUGGAAAGCUGUUGAAACUCAAUUUGGAUCUCAAUCAAAGUCUAGGUUAUUACAUUUGAGAUAUUUGAUGAAUUCCACUAGAAAGGAUGAUCUUAAAAUGACUGAAUACUUCAUUAAAAUGAAAUCUAUUGCUGAUAACAUGGCUGCAGCAGGAAGUGCAUUAAGCAAUGAUGAUUUGAUUUUACAUGUACUCUCUGGUCUAGGUCCUGAUUAUAAUUCUGUUGCUACUUACAUCACUGGACAAGUAGGAACUGGAAAAAUGAAUGUUAAUGAGGCUUAUGCUAUGCUGUUAACUCAAGAGGCUAGGAUUGAUCAACAAACUCAUAUGCUUGCUAAUAUGGAUGUUAAACACAAUUUAGAAGCUAACUUUGCACAAAAUAGAGGACCUAAGAGAGGAAACUUCUCAGGAGGAAAAGGUUUUGGUAGUCUUGGAUAUAAUACAGGCUACAGUAAUGCUGGAAAUUCUGGAAAUAGUGGUUACAGAGGAAAUUAUGGAUCAUCUGGUUUUGCUGUUGGAAGUGCUGGAAAUAAUGGUUACAGAGGAAACUAUGGAGGAGGAGGAGGAGGAAACUGGAAUAAUAAUAAUGCUGUCAAUAAUGGCAAAACACCUGGAAAUCCUAAAUCUCAGUGGAAUCCUUCUAAGCCUACAUGUCAAGUUUGUCUCAAAAUAGGUCACACAGCUAAUGUAUGCUGGAAGCUGGAAGAAUUUAUUGCUUCAGGAGCUUAUAGACCACCUCCAAACAGGAAUCCGAAAUCUGCAUAUCUGGCAAACAUGGAAGGAUCAUCUGAUACAAAUUGGUACCUUGACAGUGGUGCCACUCACCAUCUCACAAAUGACAUGAACAAUAUGCAGAUUUCUGAAUCAUUUACAGGUACAUCUAAACUCAUUAUUGGUAAUGGUACUGGCUUGAAUAUUACACAUAUUGGAAAAGCUGUUCUGAGAUUGCACAACUGCACUGAUUCCACUGUGAUUAAACUAAACAAUAUACUUUUAGUUCCACAAAUAACCAAGAACCUUAUAAGCAUUUCUCAGCUAACCAAAGACAACAAUAUCACAGUUGAGUUUGCUGACAAAUCUUGUUUUGUGAAGGACAAGGUGAAGAAUUUGAUCAUACUGCAGGGCAAGGCUGAAAAAGGCUUGUACAGAUUGCUAUUAGUGUCCUCAAAUAAAACUUCUGCUCAGUCUUCCUUUCAAGGUCAUGUUGCCAAUAUUGAGUCUUCUUUUCAGUCUUUUGUUCCUUUGUCAAUGCUAUCAACUGUCAAUCUCAGUCAGUCAAAUAAUCACUGCUUGUAAAAUGUGGCAGCAGAACCUUGUAUGAACUCUAAGUGUCUUUUAAGCACUUCUGUAUUACAUCAGAGGCUAGGUCAUCCUAACUCUAAGAUCUUAAACCAUGUAAUACAAUCUUGUUCCUCUUUCAAACCUAUCAAUGGAAAUAAAGAGUUUGAUUCAUGUGAUGCUUGUAAAUUUGGGAAAAUGCAUAGAUUACACUUUCCAGCAACUGAAACAAAAACAAAACAACCUUUAGCCAUUUUACAUACUGAUUUAUGGGGACCAGCUCCAGUGGUUUCCACACAAGGUUAUAAAUAUUAUGUGAGCUUUGUGGAUGAUUUUACCAGAUUCACUUGGAUAUUUCCCCUGAAAACCAAAGAUGAAACUCUUCAUGUGUUCAAAAUUUUCAAAGCUCAAGUUGAAAAACAAUUAGAACAGCCCAUUAAAUGUCUUCAAUCUGACUGGGGAGGGGAAUUCAGAUCCUUUAGCAAAUAUCUUCAAGAAGAAGGGAUAGAAUUUAGACACUCUUGUCCUUAUACACAUAACCAAAAUGGUUUGGUAGAAAGGAAACACAGACACAUCACUGAAUCAGGACUUACUCUUCUUGCACAAGCUAAAUUACCUAUCAAAUUCUGGUGGGAUUCCUUUCAUACAGCAGCCUAUCUCAUUAACAGAUUACCAACACCUAUUCUAGCAAUGAAAACUCCAUAUGAAUCAAUCUUUCAUCAUCAACCAGACUAUAACUUUCUAAGAACAUUUGGAUGUUCUUGUUUUCCUUUUCUCAGAGAAUACAAUAACCAUAAAUUUCAUUUCCAUACUUCAAAGUGUGUCUUCUUAGGAUAUAGUCCUUCACAUAAGGGCUAUAAGUGUCUACAUUCAUCAGGCAAAAUUUAUAUUGCCAGUCAUGUAUUGUUUGAUGAAACCACUUUCCCUUACAUUUCAGAUCCAAAUUUUUCUUCCUCUUCUAAACACACUUCCUCUGAUUUUCAAUAUAAUCUUUUUCAAAGGUUUACUCUGUCAGUUCCUAAUAGCAUUCUGAACAGUCUUGAAGCUACUGCAGCAGAUCAAUUCCCUGUCAAUCAUUCUUUAUCAUCAAAUUCACCUCAAUCUCAGUCACCCACAAAUCAGACCUCUACAUCUUUGCCUUCACCUGCACCCCAGUCACCAGCACCACAAAUACCCUGCACAACACAAACAUCUCAGCCUAAACCUUCUACUUCCACCCAUCAUAUGAUAACCAGAGCUAGAGCUGGUAUUUUCAAACCAAAGACCUUUCUAACAACUCACAACAGCUUAGAACCAUCCACUGUCCCUGAGGCAUUAUCAGAUCCUAAAUGGAAAGAUGCAAUGCAAACUGAGUAUGAUGCUCUUAUUCACAACAACACUUGGACUCUUGUGCCAAUGUCUUCAACAUACAAGCUAGUUGGUUGUAAGUGGGUAUUCAGAACAAAGUAUAACACAGAUGGAACUGUCAGCAAGUAUAAAGCUAGAUUGGUUGCAAAGGGAUUUCACCAAACAGCAGGGGUAGAUUAUUCAGAAACUUUCAGUCCAGUGGUGAAGUCUUCAACAGUUAGAGUUAUACUCAGCUUGGCAGUUAUAAAAGGGUGGAAAGUCAGACAAAUUGAUGUAAAUAAUGCAUUCCUUAAUGGAGAUCUUUCUGAAAACGUAUAUAUGACACAACCAGAAGGCUUUGUAACUAAGGAAGGGUACAUCUGCAAACUCAAUAAAGCUCUCUAUGGUCUAAAACAAGCUCCACGAGCCUGGUAUGAAAAAUUGAAGGGUUGUCUAACUACUUGGCAAUUUCUUAAUUCAAAGGCUGAUACAUCUCUAUUCAUUAAACAUGAUACAAGGGGCUUAAUCAUAGUAUUGAUCUAUGUGGAUGAUAUUCUAGUCACUGGACCAGAUUCUGCUUUACUAGAGGAUUUUAUUGUUAAACUCAGUCAGACAUUUGCCUUGAAAGAUCUGGGAUUAGUUGCUUACUUCCUAGGUGUUGAAGUUAGUUACUUUGAUGAAGGUAUGCAUCUAUCUCAAACAAAGUAUAUUAAAGACUUGCUGAGUAAAGCAUCUAUGGAGAAUUGCAAAGGGUCUGAUACUCCUCUUAGUACUGGUUUGAAGCUAGAAAGAAAUGUCAGGGGUCCUUUGGGUCAGGAGUUCGAAAAUCCAACACAAUACAGAAGCAUAGUUGGAGGGUUACAAUAUCUAAUUCUCACCAGGCCGGAUAUAGCUUAUUCAGUUCAUAAGCUCAGUCAAUACCUCAGUUCUCCUACUGUUCAGCACUGGUUAGCCUGCAAAAGAGUUCUUCGAUAUCUCCAGUCAACCAUCACCUAUGGUCUCUAUCUCAGAAAGGAAGCAACUCUGGAAAUUGGAAUAACAGGCUAUACAGAUGCUGACUGGGCUUGUGAUCUUGACGACAGAAAAUCAAUUGGAGCCUAUUGUAUAUACUUGGGUAACAAUCUGAUUUCAUGGUCUUCCAAAAAGCAAGCUAUUAUAGCAAAGUCAAGCACAGAAAGUGAAUAUCGAGCCCUGUCAGCAGCAUGCUCAGAAAUUUCUUGGUUGCAGUCUUUAUUUUCAGAACUCAACAUUGCUAAACUACCUACUCCAGUUCUUUGGUGUGAUAACCAAAGUGCAGGGGAGCUAGCUCGCAACCCUGUGUUUCACUCAAAAUCUAAGCACAUAGAGUUGGAUGUUCAUUAUGUUAGAGACAAAGUGCUUGGAAAAGAAUUGGAGGUUAGAUACAUUCCUACUGAAGAACAAGUAGCUGAUGUUCUGACUAAGCCCUUAUCUUUUUCUAAAUUCAGCUUUUUUAGAUCCAAGCUCAAUGUCGUUAGUAGACCUUUGAGCUUGAGAGGGGAUGUUAAGGAAGCACACAUCAGUAGCAUAGACUGUAAAGCAGAGGAUAGCAGUAGCUCCAGCUUACAGUUAAGAGUUGAUGACAUGGCAUGCCAGCUGGCACCUGGUGGUUAUGUAAUCACUUGUUCACGUGAUAAUUAGUUGAAGUUGUUAUAGCUAGCUAGAAUUAGUUUUGUAAUGAGUUAACUAAUUGAGCUGAGCAUCAGUUGUGUAUAUAAGCAUCUCUGUGUACAGUUUCAUAAGUAAGUUUUAGAUGAAUAAAAUCGUGUGAGCCAAAAGCUUUCAGUUCUUAAAUUUUCUCAGCUUCCAAACAUCCUUUUUCUGAUUUCUUACUCUUACUACUCUCAUAUAACAACCUAUUAACGAGUUCGUUCUUCUCUUUUUGUCUACCAAAUAUCUCGGACUCAUCAAUUGAGGAGAUACUUGCCGGCCCUCGUUGAUCCGCUCUCUCAUUACUCUUGGUAACAUUCACAGCAAAACCAAACAUGGCUUUUUGUUUGUCAAUAUCAUCAAGAGUUUCAUUGAUGUCUUUCAUCUUGAGAGCAAUGCGACGACGUAAAAAAAUAGGUUUGCAGCCAAAGCAAGAGGCAGCAGGAAAGAAGGAACCUACCUUCUUCUUAGGAACGAGAGCAUCAUUCUCAUGAUCAUCCACCCCAUCGAUCUGCAGUUUGAGCCUUGCAGUGUUCCACUCACCCAACACAUCUUCCAUGUCGUAACAUGCGCAUCUGAGUCGAUCGAGCCAGAGUCUGACAGUUUCCUCCUUUACUUGCCUUUUCUCUGCAUCAUGGAGCACAGCUCGAAUGGCUUGGAGAUUGCUGGUCAGCUUCUUCGAUUCCUUUCCGACACCCGUUACAAGCCUCAAUUGUUCCUUCGCCUCUUCAACAGCCAUUGAGGUCAGCAGCUCCAAGAGAGGGGAAAUGAUCGCAUCAACCAUGGUGAAAAAGAAAAAUGAGAGAGAGAAGAAAUUGAUGGUGAGUUGUAGCAAAAGUAAGUAGCUAAUGCUGAAAGAAAUGAAGGAGCUGAUAAUGUGGUGAAAAUGUUGCCGUAUUCUUUCAAUUCUUAUAGUACUGCAAGCAAAAUUCUAAUUUAGAAAUAUUUCAUUUCAGCCCCUUGUGAAAGAAGCUACUGUUAUUAUUAUUACUUUUUUUUUUUUUUAAUACCAGCAAAGAGUGAAAAUGACGUACAGUUGUGGACAGGAAAUAAUAUAUUGUUAGGUCCUACAUCGGCGAUUCACGCGGUAUAUAAAGAAACUGACAAAGUUUUCUAUGAUCUCUUUUUAAAUAAUUGAACAAGUUGUUAGAUAAUAUGUAUGAUCGUGUCGUCAUAUUGAGAUUUGGAAGCAUUUAGUUGAAAUACCUUGACCAUCUCUUUCUUAUUUUCUUCUUCUUCUUUUCUUUUUUUUUAAAAAAAUUUGACUCGUUUGCAUAAUUAGUUGAAAGGAAAGAAUGAACAUACUAAUAAACUAGGAAAACGCUGCCACAUAAUAUUUUAAGAUUCAUAUCGAACCACUUUAUUUAGAUUUUGUCAUUUUAGCAGAUGUCUGAUAGUGGGAGUUUAGAGUUUAAUCUCUAACUUUGCUUGUGAAGUGUGAAAAAUCAAAUAAUCUUUUCAACUCGUUUUUCAACAAAAAUAGAUAACAAUUCAUCAUCAGUUAUUUCUCUUUAUGUAUAAAAUGAUCAAUCUAGAGCUGGAUAUUCACAUGUUUUUCUAUUUCUAAUCAUUUCAAAAUAUAAUAUGAACUUUUAAAAAAAAAUCAAAUUGUAAUAAAGUGACAUAAAUAUUAAAAAAUAAAAAUAAAAAGUCAAAAACGUAAUGCCGAAAAAAGACAAAACCUUUUUGUUUGUUCUAUUCAUGGCAUCUAAAUAUGAGAAAUGAUGGGUUGAUUGUCAUUGUGAACAACCAUAUUAAUUGCAACACGUGAAUACCAUCAAAGUUAUAAUAAUUUAUGGACCCAUGCACCUGUAUUUCUAAUUAUUCCGCGUAGAAGGCUAAAGUUUAAUGUGUGAUUCUCAAAUUCAUUGUCAAGUGAUUUGAAUGUUUUAACGAACAGUGCUUACUUUUCUUUUUGAAGGAGCACAAUAACAACUUGAAGAUUCCUGGAAAUUGCCUACAGCACAAAUAUUUUUCAAUUGAACAAAAACCAUCAAUAAUUUUCAAACUUAGAAGAUAUUUAUUUUUUUCCCCAUAACCCACCAAAAACUUUUUCAUUUAGUGUAACUUUGUAAUUUUCUUAGAUGAUACUUAAAACUGCUAAUAUCUUCUAAUUAUUGUUUUAAAAAUCUCAAUGAUUGCAUGCCCAAUUAACGGAUCAGUAAUCUCAGUUUGACAUAUUUAUUUAAAAAAAAGAAAUAUACAGAUUGUUUGAUGACUCUAGAAUAGAACAUCAGGAAAUGAAGAGAAAAAGUAACAUACUUUAUGACGAUCAUUGCCGAUGACAUAACAGAUGUAAGUAUUUAUUGCCAAUUAAUUGACAUUCUUAUCAAGUAAUUGUUUUAGACUUGAAUUCAAAAGCUCUACUCCGCUCUGCCCUUCGGUAAUUCCCCUGUUCAAAAAAUAAUAUUGUUUUAAAAAUCUCAAUAACAACAUGCCCAACAUAACAGGAAGAUUCGACUUUCUCAGAAGAACUACUUGAAAAAAAUCUUGCAACGCUUCAACAUGCAAGAUUGUAAGUCAAUUUCCACCCCACUUUCUGUCAAUUUCAAGUUAUCCUCAAGUAUGUGUCCUAGUAAUGAAGCAGAGAGGAAGGAGAUGUCUCGAGUACCAUAUGCAUCAGCAGUGGAAAGUUUAAUGUUCGCUAUGAUAUAUACUAGACCAGACAUUGCACAAGCAGUGGGAGCAGUCAGUCGAUACAUGGCGAAUCCUGGUGGAGAGCAUUGGAUAGUUGCGAAGAGGAUUCUAAGAUACAUCAGAGGAACCUCAGAUGUUGCAUUAUGUUAUGGAGGAUCAGAGUUUACUGUCAGGAACUAUGUGGAUUCAGAUUUUGUAGGAGAUCUUGAUAAAAGAAAAUCCACUACUGGCUAUGUGUUUACACUUGCGGGAGCAGCUGUAAGCUGAGUUUCUAAACUGCAGACCGUUGUGGCUCUAUCUACAACAGAAGCAGAGUACAUGGCAGCUACACAAGCUUGCAAGGAAGCUAUCUGUAUACAAAGGUUAUUAGAGGAGCUCGGGCAUAAACAAGAGAAAAUUUAUGUGUUUUGUGACAGUUAGAGUGCCUUGCACAUUGCAAGGAAUCCAGUCUUUCAUUCCAGGACAAAGCACAUAGGAGUUCAGUAUCACUUUUUUCGAGAAGUAGUGGAAGACGAAAGUGUGGAUUUACAAAAAAAAAUCCAUACGAAUGAGAACCUAGCAGAUAUUUUGACCAAGCCGAUCAAUGCUGGCAAGUUUAUCUAGAGUAAAUUAGGGAUGGCAAAAACCGGGUCCGGGUCCGGGUUUGGCCUUUCCGGUUCCGGACCCGGAUGCCAAUUCUCCUUCCCGGAUCCGGAUAUAAACCCGCAUUUUCUUUCUCCGGGUUCGGUACGGGUUCAACCCGGAAAAAUCUGGGUUUCCGGAUUACGGGUUUUGAACCCGAAAAGUUGGAGUCUGGAACAAUAAAGCCUUUGUGCAUGCCCCUUUUGACUCUGGACGAGUGGAUUAGCGGUUUAUUUGAGGUGUCGGUUGAGACACCGGCGAGUCCAGGAAGCAGCAGCCAUGAAAGCAGUGAGCAAGGUUUGAGAUCCAGCAUCCACGAACAAGAGAGAGAUGAGAUCGAGCGCCAACAAGAGUGGAUUAGCAGUUUCUUUAAGGUGUCGGUUGAGGCACCAGCAAGUCGAGGAGGUGGCAGCCAUGAGAGUAGCGAGCAAGGUUUGAGAUCCAGCAUCCAAGAACAAGAGAAAAAUGAGAUCGAAUUUGAUGAGAGAUGAGAGAUAAGGUUGAAUUUGAUGAUGCCAAAGAUUGUUUGUUGCUUUUGAUGAUGAUUGAUGAUGAAUUGACAAUUAUUUAAAUUGAUGUUGAGGAUGAUAUUGAUUGUUAUUAUUGUUGAUAAUGAAUUGACGAUGGGUGGAUGAUGAUGAAUUGAAUUGAUGUUGGGGAAGAGGAAAAUAAAGGUGGCGGCUAAGGUGGGGAUUUAGGGUUUCUUUUCGUUUCUUUCCUUUUUUUUUUUUUUACUUUUGGCUUUUAUAUUUAUAUUUAAUAAUAAAAAUUAAUUAAUUAAUAAAUUAUUAAUAUUUUAGUGCAGGUCCGGGUUCCUGGAAUCCGGGUUUGGUUGAACCCGCAACCGGACCCGCAUGUAUCCGGGUUUGAAAAAAUGCUACCCGGAUCCGCAUUUUUAUGCACCCGGGAUGGGUUUAACCCGGACCGGAUCGUCCGGGUUUAUCCGGGUUCGGGCCGGGUCCGGAAAAAUUUGCCAUCCCUAGAGUAAAUCCUCUUGUGGCCUAGCAGAAACGUAGGCAACAUGAUUAUGUCGAAUCAGAAAGGAUGGUGUGGAGAUUGAUUGAUUCUCAAUCUAAUCUCCAAGUGGGAGAAUGUUAAAGUCAUGGUUGGGAGGUGUCACCCAAAGAAAGAAACAAAAGAGAAAGAAGAAAAAGAAGAAAAAAUGGGUACCGGGCUAUAAAGGGCAAAGAAAAAAAAUUAAUAAAAUAAUAAAAAUAAUAUAUGAUUGAUGAAUAGUGCCAAAACUUUCUCUAUAAAUAGAAACGAAGAGAAUGAGCAAAUUCAUUUCAUCGAGAGAGAAGCAUUUCCUUCCUUUAGAGAGGUGAGAGUAUCAAGAGUUUAAUAAACUCUUGAGUGAUUAGUGUUUUGAGAGUUUGGGUGUAUUGGGAUUUUAGGUAGUGAGGUAAAAUACCACAAUACUUGUAACUCCUUUUCACUAGUAAAAUAUUUUUCUUCUUUUUCGCCCGUGGACGUAGGCUAAAAGUCGAACCACGUAAUUUCUUGUGUCCACUUUUUGUGCUUGUUCUUUGUUUUCUUACAAUUUCAUUUUAGCUGCGUGUUUGCUUCACUCAUCAAGUAAACAUCAUCAAUCAUUUUCGUUUUGAAUUAUGAUUUUUCAAUCCAAAAAGUAGAUGCCAGUAAAAGAGAGAGUUAAACUUGACUCACCCGCUUUUCUAAUUGUUCUGAUUUGUUGUAUAAUUUAUUCUAAAGUUAUUUUAUAAUUUAUCUAAAACGUAUAUAACACGUUCUCAAUUUUAUUACUAUAAACUUACGCUGUAUUGUCUAGUCUUAGUAAGUAACGACUCAAUUGGAUGUGGGAGGAUCCCUUCCGCUUUGACCAAAAAAACUGUUUCGAGGACAGUAUUCUAACUCAACUCAAGUGCUGAACAAAGAAAGAAACGCUGAGAACAUUAAUGAAAGUUAUCAUACAGAGCAAACAAGUCAAGAGUACACACAAGAGGAGAAAUAAUUAACACAAUUAUUUUACAUGGUUGAGUUUCUCUAAGCCCACGUCCACGAAGACAGACACUUGGCCAAGGAAAUAAUUGACCAAGGAAUUUACAAGGAAACUCUCUUUUCCAGAAGUUACAAGAGCCCUGACACUAUUCCUCUCGAGGUCUAGUUCAAGUCGCCCAAGCCUCUCAAGCUCCCUUAAGAACUCUGCUUUCUUGCUGUUCAAGAAAGCGCCUGAUUGGAAUCACAUGCUCCACGUGACAUCUGGCAUAACUAAAUCUGCUGCCGUACCCGGCCAAUUUAUGAUGCCACUUAUGAUACCCUGUCUCGUCAGCUUCCUUGCCCUGCGUCAUCAUAGGACCUUACAUCUUGGAACCUCCAUGAAAGCUGAAUCUCUAACAGCCCAUCAUAAAAGAUAGUAGUUUUAAAAUAUGGAAAUUACCAAAAAUACCUGCACAUUUUGAAAUUUGUCAAAAAAUGAAGAGUUGAAAGCAAUAGGAAGACGUAAUUAACCAACCAAUUUGAUUCCUCUGAUCGCUUUCAUCUCAGGACUCUUUGUCUUCCCGUGCGUCUUCGAUUCCACAGGACAAUCUUGGAUUGAAUUUAUACAUCAGAAGAAAAUAUCAAUAUGCCCAAAAUAAAAAGUUGCUUCCAGUGCAGAAAUAAGAGAAAUUGACACACCUUUUUCCACCACAGAAGAUGGUGUCAUAUAGAAGUAUUCUGUCGCAGACUUAACAUACCUAUCAAGUAAUUAAUAAUUCAAGAUAUAAUAACUCUUGACAAUUAUAUAUUCAUAUACAUGUUAGUAGCAUGAUGCUACCAAUAUUCGCACCUUUAGCAUUCAAACACUUGAUCAUUGAAAGAAUUUAAGAAAAAUGUUGUUUGGUUACUGAGAAAAUAUCUCAACAAAAUUUUCAGAGAACUUUCCGGAAUUCUUGCCUGUAUUUCACUUAAUGAAAAAUGUUAAAAUUACAUUCAAUUUAUAUUCGAUGCUUUAGCAUUACUAUAACUAACUCAGAACAUACUACACAUGCUUAACUACAGCUCAAUAUAUACAGAGUAAGUCAUAACAAACUUUUAACUACUUAUGCUGAGGUGGCAACUGAGCUGUUAUUCUGCUUAAUCAUCUGACGUCAACAACUUGCUGGUUUUCCUCAGCUUGAGCGUCUUCUUCCUUUCUGGACAAUGAGCUUCUUUAACAAUCAUUGAAGCAGCCUUUCUCACCAACCUAGCUCCGACAUUAAUCUAUAGAGUUAUCAAGACCGACAUUCGAUGACGUAAUUACACUUUAAUUGGAUUACAAAUAACAAACGAAUAAAACGGAGCAGCAGAAGAAAUUACCAUUGGCUGAUGGUUGUUGCAGGCGUUAUGAGAAUUCCUCAAGGGCUUCCUUUGAUCAACUUCCCAUUGGUCUCGAUGUUGGAAACGUGGGAUAUCUUAGGCCCUGUAUCCUUCUUGCAACGCUCUUCUGAAAUAGAACAUCUCCCACCUUGCCCCUGCCGAAGUUAUGAGUCACCCCUCAAUUUCAAUCGAAAUACUGCUCUGCCAUGCCCUUACACCGUAACGUAAUUACUCUGUUCAAAAAUCUUGCUUUGAAAAUCUCAGUAAUUGAACAUGCUCAAGAAAUCAGUCUCAGUUUGAUGCAUUACAAAAAUAAUCAACCACACAAUGGGCUGAUGAUUAUCUACAAUUGAAAAUUAGCAAAUGAAGAGGAGAGAGCAACUACAAAAGCAACAAUGUCCGAUUAAGCCGCUGAUACAAUCAAUCAAACAAUAAGAAAAGGAUCAACAACACAAAAAGCACACGCAAGGCACAAAGAUUUACAUGAUAUAUCCACAGGUGGUGAGCUGGUAUCCACUAUACGUGUGAUGAAAACAAGUGUAUAUAUAUAAAGAACACCACCACCUGUCUCCUCACAAUAAACCCCUAGAACACAAGCGCAAAUAAAAAUGAGCCAAUUCCUGCUCUGCUCUGCCGUCAUGUACGUAACUCCUCUGCUAAGAAAUAUUGCCUUAAAAUAUCGGUAGCAUUUGCAUGCAUGACCAGCAAAUCAGUUAGACAUAUAAAAUUAUCAACCACACAGGAAAUCAGCAAAUCAGUGGUUUCAUGAAUUUGUAAUAUUUGAACAUCAGAAUAUGAAGAGUACAGGGCAAUGGGAAAAAGUAAUUAACCAACCAAAUAAAUUUAAAUCCAAAUAAGAUAAGUAACGUAUGAAAGGAGGGUUGAAGCCCACCUUAGAAACUCCUGUCUAUGAAGGCCAAUAAAUCUCCUGCUAUCUGUUUGCUUAGAUCUUUAUGUAUUUCUAUACACUUUUUACUCUACUCUGUUGUUCAACCUUCUUUGGUUUUAUGUAUCUAUUUUAUGUGUAUUGAGAAGGCUAGUUACUAGGUGUCAACUCUUCUCUUUAAAAGAUAAAGUUUUGAGAAAAGGAAAGAAAAGACACCCACGGCCAACUACCUUGUCAUAUUUUGCAUACCAAAAUUGGAUAUUAAUUAUGGUCACUGUCUUCAACCUGCUAACCAAAUCCAAAAAAUUGGUCCUCCCGAUUGAGUAAGUGAGCCCUGAAAAGACAUUACCCAGCUUAAAAGCCAAAUGAAUGUAGACUUGUGAUUGGUGUAAUUGGUUUUAAAGAAACUAGUAUGCAUCCCCACUGAAAACCAGUAAAUGGAGUUGAAGAAGAUGCUAAUGUACCACAGCUAACAUAAACAUAAUUUGAUCAGCCGAAUGACUACCAAAUGAAAAAGCAACAUAAACUUAACAGAACUGUUAAGGAUUAAUCGAAGACACAUAUAUAUUUGUGCCAAUUUUCACACCUUUAGCAUUCAAACCUUGCUCUAGAACAACUGCUGUGGUCCGAUGCUGCAGGCAAAAAAUUUGACCUACGAAGCAGCCUCACUCACCAACCUAGCCCCAAAUAAAUUUUUUGAAAUGCCUUGAAAACCUUAACAUUAUAUCCAAAUAAACAUAACUUGUGUUUGUGGCGUAAUGAGAUUGCAGUGCAUUCGUAGAGUGUACACUUAUCUGCCAUUUCGUCGGAACAAAUUUUUUUUACUUCUCUUAAAAUUUGCAUAAUAAAUAGCAAUAUGGACAAGUACCUACUUAUGAAAAUGUUAAGAUAUUUUUACAUUUCUUCUUUUUUUUUUAAGGAGUAAAAGUGAUUAUUCAUUUUGUUGAUGCCCAUUUACUCUAUAAAUGCCACCAUGAUCACUGAGAUAUGUUCAUGAAUAAGCAUCUACCAUCAGAUCGAUUCGAAAACGGAAAGGAAUAGAGAAAUAAAAGGUGAAACAAAUGAAAUCAUUUAAGGAGAGGAACGAGAUUCCAUUGUCUGGUUAUAACUGGAAAUCAAGCAUGAAAAAGGAAUUGAUUUUUUUUUUUUUUGGUUGACAGAAUACACUUUCAACUAGAAAAAAAAAAAGAAAAUUUGAAUCUGAUAUUUAACAGAAAAUUCAAAUAAAAUCAAAUUCAUUUGUAAUUUAAGUUCAUUUCAUUCUUAAAAUUUGACAUAUAGAAUAAAAUUUAUAACUGUUUCAAAUACAAAAACAUAUUAUUAUUCAAAAUAAUAAAAAUUUUCAUGGCAAAAAGUUAAAAAAAUAAAAUAAAACUGUUUGACGUAGAAUGGAAUUGAGCAGGGAAAGUUUGAUGGAAGAUGCACACACUAGUUGUGGAAUUAUACCGUUAGUCAUUUUAUUAAAAAAAAUAAAAUAAGAAUAAAAAUCACCUCGUUGAAAGAUUAUUUGCUACGAUUAAAAAUUUUAUUUGGUGAGCAAAACGACGUAGGGUCCUCAAAAACCUCAUGAUGGUGCAUGUAUAUUCAAAGCUUCAUGACAUCAUAAUAAAAAUGUUUUGUAUUAUGAUGAGUCAUACGUUCACUUGUUGAACUCGACCCUCACAGCGACGGAGAGGACCAUUUGCUGUAUCCUCGAAGACUACCAGAAGGAGGAUGGUGUGUGUGGAAGUACCAGAAGAUCUGCAAUAUUGGAAAUGGUUCAGCCGUGAUCAUUGGCAAUCAGACAAGAUUAUUGGCAAUAUUGUAGGCUUGUGUCUUUUACCCGUUAGAAGGAUAACUUGUGCACUUAAAUUUGGCACAUCACUUGUUUGACAAAAUUACAAAGCAAAUGUGUAACUCGUGUACUCUUCCUUUUUUAUCAUAAUUUUUGUACUAUAAAUAUGUACCUGCAAAUAGUGAAAUAUACACACAAAAUCAAUAAUUUCAUGAAUUAUUCUUCUUCUAAUUUUUACAACCUUUCAUGGGUGGAAAGACUUUCCUGCCUUUCAAGGCCUUGCCAGCUGCUGAAGCCGAAGGGAAGAAAUCCAAGGCUUUUUUUAGUUCAUCUAUUAAAUCCCCAGAAACCAGUUGCAGAACUAGUGGGAAAUCAAAUAUUUUUUAGUGGAAACAAAUACGAAACUAGUCCUCAAAUUAUUGUGUAAUGCAUUUUGCAAGAAAUUUGAUAGCCUGAUUAUGUUAUCCACAUCUUGAACUUUUCAAGUUAUGACGUGUCGGGAUUUGUUGCUAAACCAUACAAUUAUGAAAUUUUGCAACUCAAUCUUGUAUUGUUGUAUUUCCUUGCUUUCAGUUUUCUUGAUCAGAACAAACAACAUAAAUAAUGAUGCUAUAUUAAAAAAAUUAAAAGAAUUUCACUCGCCCUUCAUUUGUUAUCAACAAUAUGAUAUUGCCUGGGAUCUUUCGGCUUAAUCUUCCAGUGCCCAUUAGCCAAACUUGCAUUCUCAGCGAUUCUUCUCCAUUUCUUAAUCCUUUUAUCCAUAUGCUUUGUUAAUGCACAGUACUGUUGCAAUUUCUUAGGCAUCGCGUCAUAAACUUGCCACCAUUUCUUAUGAGCUGAAUCACUGGCAAAUACAUGGAGACUCACCAUGUCCCAAUUGCAAUCAUAGUCCUUGUAACACAUCCAUGGCUUUAACCCCAGAUAAUGAAUUGCAUAAAGGCCAUCACCCACUUGAUGUUCCUUAUCGUCUUGCUUUGAAAACACCUUCAAAUUGUUGAUUCUCUUAGGCAACCUAUGCCACCAUGUGAACACUUUAUUAAGAAAUCCCUGGUCACCCCCAUUGUAUGACGAAACCUUAAAGCUUUUGAGCAUCAUAUCUUCAAACUUGCACAAUGAUGGCUCAAUCACCAUCACCCCAGAAUUGAACAACACUUUGUCAUUACCUGCUGCUGAUAAUUCAGGGUAAAAGAAGAACUCAUCGGUGUUUUUGAGUAUUAAAAGAUCAGAAUCAAUGAAGAUAACUUUAUCAUAUUCAAUGAGUUGCCAUACUCUAAGCUUGCUAUAAUUCCACUCAUUGUACGAAUCUUUCUUGGCAAAGGGGCUACGUAUGCGCGAAAUCCACUUGGUUUUCCAUCCGGCAGCUCUCAGGCCACGGAGAGACUUGCCACUUAUUGAUUUAUCAUGAAGGAGAACGAGAUCUCUAGUCGAGUUUUUUUGGAUUAUGCUUUGCGCUAAAGCUAUUGCACCACAUACAUAAGCUUCUGAUGAAUGUAGAACUGUUACAUAAGCUUCUCUUUGAUGGUACGUUGUGUAGUUCAGUUUUGCUAGUCUUGCUUGUGACAUAAAAUAUCUCCAUAUUUCUUUGCCUGUAAAUCAAAAUAAAAGCACUCAAAUAUUAAUUUUAGGUUAAUUUUGCAAAAUUAAGAAAAAUGAAUUACGUAUGAAGGUUUGAAGAAGUCGUGGUGUCCGGAUUAGGUAAUACUUUCACGGAAAUUGAAAGUGCAAUUGUCUAAUGCCACAUAAGUCUUAAUUAGGAAAUUGAUUUAUGUUGGCUGAGUUACCAAAUUUUCACACAAUCAGAAUCAUGACUGCUGACUGUAUACAUUCUGUGUCCGUAGAUUAUUACAACUCUUUAAGGAUAUCAAAAUUGAAGAACCCGUCAAAUUUAAACCAAUUACACAUGUGCACGAGUUGUGCAUAUUUAAUUUGGAUGUCUCAUUUAUUAAUGCUGAACGAAUAAUUUACUAAAAUUUGAAACUAAAGAAAGCAGUAAAUUAAUGACCCACCAUGACCAAAUAAAUCACGCACUAACCUUUUCUUUUUUUCUUUUUUUUUUUCCUGAGAACACCUCAAAUUUCCGAAGAAAAAUUAAAUAAAAUCUCCUGCAUCCAUCUCUUGUGAACAUUUUAUAUUUUUUUAUAUGCAACAAGCUUUCAUUAAAAUUUAAGAUUCUAUCUCUAGAAUAAACUCCAAAACAUAUCGAUUAAAAUAACAAUAAGAGCUUAAAUACUACUUCGUAAAUAAUCAAGAAAUAUGACAAGCAACAAGAACAACAACUACCAAUUCAUAAAGAUUUUUACGAAAUUUUAAGUCAAAUUUUAAUGCAUAAUAACAUUGUAAAAUUCUUGGAACUGAGUACAAACAGUAAGUUAGCAUUUGGUUAGAAAAUUGUACAGAUUUUCUUCUUCAAGUGAUAUGACCAAAUUUUCUUCAGUUUCCAAACUACUCGCCAAACAAACAAAAUGUUUUCGAGAAACCAGGGAAAAAAAAAAAAGAAGCAAAACUCACCAGUUUGAGCAAAAGUAGGAGCAAUUUGGCAUGACCCAACAGGCAUCAAUACUUUAUGUUUCAAUCUCCUCAAGUCAGGUUUAUAAACCCAAUAAUCCCCUGCAUGCUCCACAAGAUCAUCGCACCUGAACAUCUCCACCAUGGCCCCACAAGAACCCACAAAGACAACGUACACCGCCCGAUCAACAUCAGGUUUCAACCACCCACUCUCCACCGCUAGAUUCGCCACCACGAGAUUCACUUGCAACCUAAACACAUCCCUCAUCCCACCACCUCCUUCUCCGUCCCCUCCGCAGGGAAUCCUAGCCACUAUCACGUCGAGGUACCGGUAAUCCUGCGCCGGCAUGGGUAUAUCCGGGCACGCCGGUGGGGCCCACUUGUGAUCUUCAUCAAUCCACUCCGGGAAAAAGUCUUCCCAUUUUUUAUCCUCACCCACAUGGUCGAAACGUACGUGAACAGUUUCAACAUGCAUGUCACCACGUACGCUAUUAUAAUCAUCAUCGUCGUCGUCGUUUAUAUUUACUAAACCAACUUUAAUUUUGUGACCGUUGAUAUGUUUUUCGACAAUAUCGAGCCAUUUGGGUCUGUGUAAUAAGUGGUUAGUAUUAUAUUUAUUAUUUGGCUCGUAAGCGAAAUGGGGUUGUUGUUUAGGUUUGAACGACAAAACGACAAGGAAAAGCGAGAAGGAGAGGAGAAGAAGAGAGAUUAUGAAGAGCUUUUGACUGAAAUUUGUGGGUUUGUUAGAAGAAGAUGGUGAUGAAGCUGCAGCCAUUUGAUUGAAUUUUGCUUCACGUCUUUGUUGAAAGUUGAAAGAUUUGUUUUGAGUCGACGUUUUGUUUUAAGUUAUAUCCAACGCAUCGAAUUGGAAUGAAAAGAAUCAAAGAUUGCAUUGCAGCAUGUUGAGCUUUGUCAAAUUGUCUUCUUAUGUGUAGGUAUUUUAUUUUCACACGCAUUUGAUGCGCGUGGGUAGGUUUACUAAAUGUAUUUCUUUUAUUAUUAUUAUUAUUAAGAUUAAAAUAUACUUCUAAGUUGUCAAAUUAGGCUUCUGAUAUCCUAUAUAACAAGGCAACAAACAUAAUAAACUUGUUACUUGUUAGAGUGCAAUUUAUGCACUAGUUUUGCAUUGUUUACUUCCCUUAAUAUCGAUGUUUUGCACUUAAUAAUAAUGUUUUACUUGUGUUUUACUUUUGUAGGUGCAAUUCUAUUGAUUGAUGAUAAAGUUGAGCUAAAAGAUGAUGUUUAAGGAGGAUUGUUCUCUUGGAGAAAUUAUGAGCGUCAGAAGAACUUUGUUGAUAAGGCGUGGACACGUGCUGUCAACUGCGGACCUGCAGUUUUUAGUUUAACGUGUUUUGUAUUUUUGGUUAUUUUUGUAAUUACGAAUUUAAUAUUUCAGAUAUUAGUAUUUUAUUUUAAAUAGAAUUCUAAAAGAGAAGAGAGAGAGAGUAUUUAAGGGAGGAAUCUAUUGUGAAAAAGGGGGAUUUGGAUUGGAGAAAAAGAAAGAAACCCUAGAUCUAAAUUUUUCUCUUCUCUCUAUGAAGAACUAAACCUAUUUUUCUGGUUGAAGGAUAAUGAAGCUUUGAUUCAUCACUACUGUGAGAUCUUUCUUAUGCUUUAAUUGUUUUAUUGCUUUUUGGGUAUUUGUUUAUUCUCUGAAUUAUUUUCAUGAUUAUGUUUGUUAAUUAGGUAAUUGGCCACUAUUUAAUUAUCAACUUAAUCUAUUGUCAAUUAAAGGAUUCAUCAUAUGAAGAAUUUAAUGUUUGUGACAAAUAACAUAGCAGAGAGUUGUGUUGUGAGAAUAAACAAUCUAAUUUAAAUGAAUCAUCAUAUGUGUUGAUUAGGAUUUGGGUCUCUCUGGUUUUUUAGGCUGUCAAUUGAUUAAAUCCUAUGAUCGUAUCUAGGGUUGUCUAUUGAUUAGGGAAAUAAUCAACGGUCGUACCUUGGUUAUCGACUAGUUAAGGAGAGAUUGGCUAUUAGAGGGUCUCAAUAGCUAUAACCGGUCUAUUCAUAAGUAAUAAUAAUCUAUAUUUGAAUUAAUGAUCAGUAGUCGAAUCAAGCUGAGUUAAUUCCUUCAACCAGAGCUUUCUCCAAUUUGAAUUACAACUUUAAUUUGCAUUCUUGUUAUUUUUAAUUUGAUUUUUAUUAUUGUCAACAAUUCCCCCAUUUUACGUUUUACGUUUCAAAAGGAUUUAAAUAAUUACCGAUCUCUGUGGACACGACCCUGCUCAAUCACUAUAUACAAUUUAUUUAGAGUAGGAAUUUAUUUUUGUUGGCUUCGACAAACAUCAAAUUUUGGCGCCGCUGCCGGGGAUUGGUGUCAUUUAUUUAAUCAUUUUUACGUUUUACUUGGUGUAUGGUUCGUUCUUCUCGUACAGGUACACUUUCAUUUGAUCCUGAAAUUGAGAAGAUAGCUCGCCAGCUGAGACAGCAGACGAAGCGAGCUAAGCAACGAUCAUCGUCGUCUUUGCUUUCUGAAAUAGAUACAGUACCUGAUUUAGUUGAAUCAUCUAGCGAUUCAGAAGAACAAGUGAUGGAUAGACCUGCACCUGUAGAAAGAACUCUUAGAGAGUUAGCUAAACCAGACUUGAAUCAACAACCACUCUGCAUUCAAUAUGUAGAUUUGGAGGUAAAUUUUGAAUUAAAGUCUGGUCUUAUUCAUUUAUUACCCAAGUUUCAUGGUUUUGCAGGUGAAGAUCCUCAUAAACAUCUUAAGGAGUUUCAUGUUGUGUGCUCAAGUAUGAGGCCACAAGGCGUGACUGAAGAGCAGAUUAAGCUGCGUGCUUUUCCGUUCUCUGUAGAUGGGCUAGCUAAAGAUUGGUUAUACUACUUGCCUCUUGGAUCGAUUACAACGUGGAAUGGUUUGAAGAAGCAGUUCCUUGAGAAGUACUUUCUCAACUUCCUGGGGAGACUUUGUAUGAGUAUUGGGAGCGAUUCAAACAAUUGUGUGCCAGCUGUCCUCAGCAUCAGAUUUCUGAUCAACUUCUUAUUCAAUUUUUUUACGAAGGACUGUCAUUGAUGGAUAGGAGUAUGAUAGAUGCUGCUAGUGGAGGCGUGUUGGUGAACAAGACCCCUACUCAAGCAAGGGAGUUGAUAUCAAAUAUGGCUGCCAACGCACAACAAUUUGGCAGCAGGCAAGAUCUCACUUCAAGGAAGGUGAAUGAGGUAAAUAUUUCUUCUGUUGAACAACGUUUAGAUAAACUUACUUCUCUUGUGGAAAAGUUUGUUGUAGGUAAUGUGCAACAGGUGAAGACUUGUGGCAUUUGUUACAAUAUGGGUCAUUCAACUGAUAUGUGUCCUACACUACAAGAAGAACCCGUUCAACAAGCCAAUGCAGUUGGAGGAUUUCCAGGCAUGCCUCAGAGGAGGUAUGAUCCUUAUGCACAAACAUACAAUCCGGGAUGGAAGGAUCAUCCCAACUUCAGCUAUGGAGUUAGGCAAUCAAGAUUCUCACAACAAUAUCCACCAAGACAACCAGCACCUCCACAGUCAAACUCCAAGUCAGGUAUAUCUCUUGAAGAAAUUGUUAAAUCACUUGCGACUAACACUCAACAAUUUCAGCAGGCAACUACAGCAAGCAUUCAGAACUUGGAGAACCAAAUGAGUCAAUUGGCAACUACAGUGAGCCGUCUGGAGUCUCAAGUAUUAGGGAGAUUGCCUUCACAAUCUGAGGUGAAUCCAAAGCAAAACGUUAGUGCUAUCAUCCUUAGAAGUGGGAAGGAGUUGCAAGAGCCUAGUAAGAAAGUGACAGAGCAUGUAGAAGAUGAGCUUGAGAAGAAUGAAUUGAUGCCUCAAUCUCAAGAUGAACAACCCACCAAAGCGAAACCCCUACCUAUUGUGAUACCUCCUCCUUUUCCAAGCCGGUUUGCAAAAUCCAAGAAGGAGGAACAAGAUAAAGACGUCCUUGAGACUUUUCGCAAAGUUGAGGUAAAUAUUCCUUUAUUAGAUGCUAUAAAACAAAUACCUCGAUAUGCUAAAGUCCUUAAGGAACUGUGCACCUCUAAGAGAAAAUUAAGAGGAGAUGAAAAAGUUCACAUGGGGGAGAAUGUUUCAGCAGUUCUCCAAAAGAAACUACCUCCUAAGUGCAAGGAUCCAGGUAUGUUUACUAUCCCUUGUAAAAUUGGUAGUGUUAGAAUUGAAAAGGCUUUGUUAGAUCUAGGAGCUUCUAUUAAUGUCAUGCCUCGUUCCAUUUAUUCAUCUUUGAAUAUUGGUCCAUUAAAAGAAACUGGCGUGAUAAUUCAACUAGCUGAUAGGUCUAAUGCAUACCCUGAUGGGGUAUUAGAAGAUGUCUUAGUACAAGUUAAUGAGUUGGUUUUUCCUGCUGAUUUUUAUGUACUUGAUAUGGAAGAGGAUAACUCCUCUAAUUUUGUCCCAAUUUUGCUAGGAAGACCUUUUCUUAAGACUGCUAGGACUAAAAUGGAUGUACAUAAAGGGACUCUCACUAUGGAGUUUGAUGGAGAGGUUAUAGAAUUCAAUAUGAAUGAUGCCAUGAAAUAUCCGAGUGAGGAACAUUCGGUAUUUUCUGUGGAUGUUAUUAACUCUAUAGUACAGGAAGUUUUUUACAAGGAAAAAACGAAGACAUUUCAUGAUAGAAUGAUUUUAAGAAAAGAGUUAUCUAUUGGUCAAAAAGUUCUUCUUUUUCAUUCUAAGCUUAAACUUUUUCCGGGUAAAUUACGUUCUUGCUGGGUUGGACCUUUUAUUGUUACUAAUAUUUUUCCUCAUGGUGCAGUUGAGAUUCGGAGUCCGACUUCUGACAAAGUUUUUAAGGUUAAUGGUCAUCGCUUAAAAACUUUUUAUGAAGGUUUUUCGGUGAAUAUUGUAGAGGAUGUGGCUCUCGAGAGUCCCAAUUAUGGAGAUUGAUGCAUAAAUGUGUCUAGCCAAAGACAUAAAACAAAGGCGCUUUUUGGGAGGCAACCCAAAUGAUUUAUUUAUUUUGGUUUUUGUUAUAUCUUCUUUUAAUUUUGAUUCAUAUUUUUUUUAAAUAAUGUGUUUGCUUAUUUUGGUCAGAAGAAAAUUUUUGAUAAGGCGUGCCCACGUCUUAACUAAUAAGUACUUCUGUGAUUUUUAAAGUAAAAUGGUUUUAAGGCGUGCCCACGUGCUUAUUAGAAAAGUACUUCUGAAAUUUUUAGUGUUUCAAGUGAUUCAUCACUAAAAAAAAAAAAAAAAAUUGUUUUCUUUCGCAGCAACAGCCGCUCUAGCCUUCACCGAGCAGCCCGUGCGCAACUAUCUCACCAUUUCCGCCAAGCCCAUAGACGUUAUGAGGAUCAAAGCUCACAAUUCAGGGAAGUUUUUGCCUUUAAUCUUUUAUCCUUACGAUUUAAUUUUUAUGUGAGCUUUGAUUAUCUUACAUUGGGGACAAUGUAAGUUCCUGGUGUGGGGGAGGGAUUUUUGCAUUAUUGAUGUCUGGAAUUAUUAUUUUCACUCUGCUCAUCUAUUUUCACUCUACUCAUCCUUAAAUGAUUUUGGAGUUAGUAUGCUUCAUAUAUUAUUAAUUUUCUUUUCCUUUCUCUCUCACUACUCUUUUCCCAUCUAUCUCAAAUUAUUUACAUCUAUUUUUUUUUUCUCUAUCAUACUCUUUCAUCACUCACAUUUUAUCUUUCAUUUUUUUUAAUACAUACAUCUUUCUCGCUUAUUAUCCUUUUUACCUUUCCUUUUAUAUCUCACUCAUACCUUCUUCUCAUUCUACACCACUAUUGAUGGUUGAUUCAUUUGAAGAGUGUACAUGAUUUGAUGGCAAUUUUACCAACUUUGUGAGGAUUUGAGCCUAUGAGCAACCACUUUGCUCUAAUUAUUUUUGUUAUGUGAAUAUCAUUCCUAGUUUGUUUAUUCUAGAACUUGCUUUGUUAUGCAUGUUGAAGCCACAUUACGGGAUUUUAUGCAUUAAAAUGAUAAGGGCAAACCAUUUACCAUUUUUCUAUUCUCGCAUUUUCCUUUUUCUCUACCUGAAGACCUUUAUUUGCUACCUUUGUUUGAGCCUUACCCAUUACCCAUCUAAUUCUCUCCGUCUACUUAACCAUUUUUCUUCUUUUUGAGCCUCAAUUUAAGGAGAUUUUUGGACUCAUUGUGUGGAUAUAUUUUGUUGCUUUUUCUACCUUGUAUUAAAGUUUCUCAAUUAGAUCAACAAGCAUUAUGCUUGAAUUAAAUUGUGCAAGGUUCGUUUCUUUUGUUUGAUUCAAAAAAAAAAAACAAAAAACAAAAAAAAACAAAAAAAAAGGAAAAAGAAAAAAAAGAGAAAAAAGAAAAAUCGAAAAAAAAAAAGUUUACAUUCUUGGUGACUUGAGUAGAAAUAAGCAUUUUGAUAUCAUAAGUUCAUUCAAUGAGUUCAUUCUUCUCGUUUUGAUCUCUUUUUCUUUCGUAAACCUUUCUUUUUCAUUUAACCCCAUUACAAACCUUUUAAGACCCUUAUAUUUUUGCAUUUUAUUCAUGUUUUGUGGAUUGAGAUGUGAUAUAUGAGCAAGCUUAUGGUAAUAGCAUUCUUUGAUUUGAUUUGAGUGCAUAAAUGAUACCCUAAACACUUUGAGUGCAUGGAGUGAAGUUAUUGAGAGGGCUAUUAAAUCUUGUUGCACUUGAAUUUUGAAUGGAUCUUCUUGGUGGUUGAAUGUUCUUAUUCUAUCUUAUGAAAUUCUAUGCUUUAAAAUCCUUGUCUCUUGAAUGUUGAUCGACUUAAUUUCUUGAGGUAUGCUUGCUUAAAAUUGUUUUUGGAUGAGUUGAGAUGAGAAUUGAGUGGAGAUUUGAGAUUAAUCUUGAGUUAUAUGCUUGAGGACAAGCAUCAUCUUGGUGUGGGGGAAUUUGUUAGAGUGCAAUUUAUGCACUAGUUUUGCAUUGUUUACUUCCCUUAAUAUCGAUGUUUUGCAUUUAAUAAUAGUGAUUUACUUGUGUUUUACUUUUGUAGGUGCAAUUCUAUUGAUUGGUGAUAAAAUUGAGCUAUAAGAUGAUGUUUAAGGAUGAUUGUUCUUUUGGAGAAAUUAUGAGCGGCAGAAGAACUUUGUCGAUAAGGCGUGGGCGCGUGCUGUCAACUGCGGACCUGCAGUUUUUAGUUUAACGUGUUUUGUAUUUUUGGCUAUUUUUUUAAUUACAAAUUUAAUAUUUCAAAUAUUAGUAUUUUAUUUUAAAUAGAACUCUAAAAGAGAAGAGAGAGAGAGUAUUUAAGGGAGGAAUCUAUUGUGAAAAAGGGGGAUUUGGAGAUUGGAGAAAAGAAAGAAACCCUAGAUCUAAUUUUUCUCUUCUCUCUAUGAGGAACUAAACCUAUUUUUCUGGUUGAAGGAUAACGAAGCUUUGAUUCAUCACUACUGUGAGAUCUUUCUUAUGCUUUAAUUGUUUUAUUACUUUUUGGGUAUUUGUUUAUUCUCUGAAUUAGUUUCAUGAUUAUGUUUGUUAAUUAGGUAAUUGGCCACUAUUUAAUUAUCAACUUAAUCUAUUGUCAAUUAAAGGAUUCAUCGUAUGAAGAAUUUAAUGUUUGUGCCAAAUAACAUAGCAGAGAGUUGUGUUGUGAGAAUAAACAAUCUAAUUUAAAUGAAUCAUCAUAUGUGUUGAUUAAGAUUUGGGUCUCUCUGGUUUUUCAGGCUGUCAAUUGAUUAAAUCCUAUGAUCGUAUCUAGGGUUGUCUAUUUGAUUAGGGAAAUAUCCAACGGUCGUACCUUGGUUAUCGACUAGUUAAGGAGAGAUUGGCUAUUAGAGGGUCUCAAUAGCUAUAACCGGUCUAUUCAUAAGUAAUAAUAAUCUAUAUUUGAAUCAACGAUCAGUAGUCGAAUCAAGCUGAGUUAAUUCCUUCAACCAGAGCUUUCUCAAAUUUGAAUCACAACUUUAAUUUACAUUCUCGUUAUUUUAAUUUGAUUUUUAUUAUUGUCAACAAUUCCCCCAUUUUACGUUUUACGUUUCAAAAGGAUUUAAAUAAUUACCGAUCUCUGUGGACACGACCCUACUCAAUCACUAUACACAAUUUAUUUAGAGUAGGAAUUUAUUUUUGUUGGCUUCGACACCCAUCACAACUAUCUAAGACUUAUAAAUUCUUAAAAACUCUUUCUCUUUGUAUAUGGUAAGGUAAGAAAUUUGAGAUCCAUCUUUAGUUCGAAAAAAAAUUAUGUCCAAACUCAAAGUCUUUCCUUAGUGAAGCAAAGAAAUUCGUACCAACAAUAUGAUCAUAUAAGCAAAUUAUUCGUGACCAACAAUAAGAAAAUUAUGUAUCAUACAUAAGUCAAUAAUGAGAUUUUUUAAAAAAGUUAAUUAUAGUAUAAUUGAAUGGUAACUUAAUUUUCUCCUACCCAUGUGAGCUAAGUGGUACAUAAGAAUGAGAGUUUUUUGAAUAAUAACAAAAAGUGUAAUAAAAUAUACUUAUCUAAACUAAACGCUGCAUAAAAAUUUCCUUUUAUAUACUACUCUCUCUCCCCCCCCCCCCCCCCCAACAAUCUAGGUAUUUUUUUAAAGUUCAUUUUUUAAAAGAUUGGAGAGUGGAUUAAAUCUAAAUCGAUUUUUUUUAGCCUUUACCUCCCUUAAAAUUCAAAAUCUAUUAGCUAGUUAAAUAAAAGUACUUGAAAAUUAUUUGACUAAAUCAUUGAGGGCAGAAUUUAGACACUGAUAAAUAGUUAAAAAUUUCAAUUAAAUAUGAUCAUCUAUUGGCAUUCUUAAAGUUCCGUAAUCACAGCCAGUACAAUGGUUCUAUCAAAUGAAAUAUUUCUAUCCAAAAUCAAUUUCUUUUUUAUCAUAUGGAAUUAAUCGAUUUGGAAUUGUGGAUUUUUAAUAGAUAUAAUAAAUACCCCAAGUAUGGGUGCUUUUCCAAUCAGGGAUCCCUGACUUUAAUAAAGUCAGGGAUUAGCUAAAAGAUAAAAAAGUUUAAAUUUUACUACACUACAUGAUAAAAUACAGUUUAUUGAAGUAUGUGUUUAUUUUGUCUUUUAGCUAAUCCCUGACUUUAUUAAAGUCAGGGAUCCCUGAUUAGAAAACUACUCCCCCAAGUAUUUUGAUAAUAUUCUAUAAUUAUCGUUGAGUUAGUGUGUGGCUUCGGGUCACCGUCAUGAACUUGGUCAGUCUAACAAAUAUAACGUAACCCAUGGUAUCAUCAAAAUAUGUGCAACGUUGCUCAGUAGAAACCAAAUCAGAUUAGGGAAAUUAUCUCUGUUGUCUUGGUCAAUCUUUUGUGACUUCAUCAAUAGACAUAACAUGUAGCCACGCCACAAUUUUUAAUUUUAAUUGGAAUGCUUAGAAGUCUAUUAAAAAUUAUAAUGUAACCUAACUAAGAAUAAUAUCAAUUUUUCUAUUUUAAUCUAAUAUUUAAUUAAACUAUUGCCAUUAUUGCACUUAGUCAUGGCUCAUAUGUGGAUCCACUAAUUGUUUCGCACCGUUGAUUGAUUGAGGGACGGUCAAGAUUUGAUUAAAUAUUGGAAUUGGUAUGCGAUCUCAUUAAAGUUGACUUCUAAAAUUGCAUUCUCAAUUAUUCAGAUUUAAAAAACAAGAAUGAUAAUAUGAUAGUUACGUUUUAAUAUUCUACGUUUGAAAUAUUAUGUUUCUUCUCAAAGCUGCAAAUCUCAUUUACAUUACCUGGUCAAAGACUUCUUGACAUAAAUUAUUUAUGCUAUUAAUUCAGUUAGUUAAGGAUAUACUUUAAAUGAUAUGACAUUUAAUCAACCAACGAUACAACAUAUAUCGAUUUAAUAUUAAGAUAUCUAAACAUAAUGAGACGACAAGAUCAAUACUCAACAUACAAUUUAAUUUUAAUACAAUUUCUUUCAUAAAUAUUGAUACAAUAAUAUUGAAUCAAUGUCAUGUCACUUGGCUUACUUUAUUUACUUAUUACUUAACUCUUUUAGUACCUAUACGUCACUCAUUAAACUCGUAUAUAUUUUGUAUGCAUCGAAUUAUUGAGAAUAGAAUUCACAGAGUUCAACUCUUGUGCAUGAACUGAGGAUUUCUCUAUUAAGUUUACUUGGAUAUGAUUAUAUUUUUGUUCUCUAAUUAUCAUUUGUUUUCAUUUUUUUUCUAUUACAUAUGAUUUUCAUUAAAUCACAACUCUAGUUGGCAUUUCACAUCACCCGCAAUUGAUUAGUUGCUUUCUAAUCCAACAAAAUUAAUAUGGAAAGAAAUAAAUGGCAACCGAUAAAUAUUCCAACAUUAUGUAUUACGCUGAAGAUUAAGCCAAUCCCACUACUACAAAACUGAAUUUCUUUGACAGAAUGCUUUUUCACAUGAUCAUGUAUGUGUCAAAGUUUUGUGACAAAUAUAUUAUUUUGCUGAUGUCGCAAACACAAUCCUUUCAAAAUCUUUAGAGGCCUUGAAAUUUUGAUUAUCUAUAAGAGAAUAGUUACAAAAUUCUGUCACUAAUAGUAAGUUAAGUGAUUCUUGAUAGAAUACUAUCAAAACAUUUAUAUAAAAUCUCACAUUUUAAUAUUUUACAAAAAUGUGUUUUAAAUAUUUUCAUUUUUUUGACAUAAUUCUAUCAAUGAACUUUCUUUUUAAAUUUUUAAUUCCACUUAGGCAUUGAAAAUGACAUAGUUUUAAAAGAUUUCAAUGACUUAACUGAUGUGAAUAUAUCUUUAAUAAGUCAACGACAAAAUUCUAUCAAAUAAAAUUCAUCACCUUAUCAGAUAAACAAAGGCCUGCUCAACCAAUAAGAAUUUGCCAUCUAAAGAGUUUAAUGGGUCUUUCAAAAAGCCUGACUUGAGUCUGAGCUUGAGUAUUUCAGGUCUA
rnacentral:lncRNA from 1 species